UUUUUUUUUUUUUUUUUAAGGUUUUAGUACGAAAGAAUUUCUACAAAGGAAGAUAGGUAUCUCAAAUCUGGGAUUGGGCUGCAAUAAAACUAGAAAGGGAUCUGCGUCUUGAAAAGUGAUUAUGGUGUUUGGAAGCAUGACAAAAUAUGGUGGAUCAUCAGAUUUUCUUUAUUUCUAUUCUGAUUUUUCGAGAUGUACUGCAAUUAAGCAAGACGUUGAAACCGUCCUUUUUUUUUUUUUUUCAACUGUAGAUAAACGUGGGUUUCGAGAUUGGUCCAACAUUAUUGUCUGAAAAGGUAAUGCCUAUUCGAUUAAGAAAUAGAGCACUACAUACGUAAAUAGCUUCUGCAAAAAUCGGAGAGAGAUGCAGACAGUCGCCAAUUGGUAAGAGGCCGCGUAUCGUUAGCAGCUUGGUCAGUCAGGGACUAGAAACCAAGAAUGCCACACCACCAAUUCGGGGCACCAUAAACUGGGCUGUGAGUUGUUUCUCGAAUUCAUACUCCCGACCGGAAAUAUUCUCACAGGGUAAAUAAUUCUGUCCGGUAAAUUUGGCCCAAAUUCAAAAGUCAUAAUUCAUGCAAAUUCCUACCCUCUUCGGCUCCUCUCCUCAAUUGACCUUAAAAUCAAGUAAAGACAUUAUUAUUAGCUUAAGAUGCACAAUUUAGCUAAUGUUAAUAUGCUUUUUAAGUCAUAUAGCAAUUAACGUCUUGCACUUCAUUGACGUUCCCCCCCCCCCGCCCCCACAAAAAAAACACACACACACACAACUUGUGAGUAUCCACCAGGCUUAAUAAUUUAACGUACUUUUUUUUUUUGGUUUAAUUCUUGACUUUUAUCAUCAAAUGCGUUUCAAAAAUUCCUUUAUUAAUUCUUGACCUUACUUUUUAUAAGGAAAAAUGGUUUUUACAGGGAACGGGAAGGGGGAGGAAGGUGGGAAAAGAAAGCACGGAGAAAAGUGCCAUAACUGAGGCUGCAGGCUACCGGACAAAUCACAAAAGAUCAGGGAUCAUGGAUUGGCCUGAUAAGCAAGCAAACACAAAGAAACAACCAAAACCCAAAAUUCCCCCCUCCCACCCAUCCUGGACUUGGAGUGGAGCCUUUCUAGUUACUUGGGCAAAAUGAUUCUAAAAAGUUGUUGGCCGCUAGGUGAAAUAAAAUAUAGAAACUGUGUUAUUUUUUACUUGUUCGGGCUAAAACAUUCAGGUUGAUGUGCCUCUGAUGCAUCUAUGUGAAAAAUUGCAAUGCAACUAAACUUCCAUCCUUGCAAAGUUGCACCACCUUAGUAAUUGGAGUGAAACAUUUGCCCUUUAAUCAUGUGCUUUAAAAAGCUCUAAAAUAAUGCAAUUUCAUAUGCCAAUAUCAGUGUGUUUUAGGCUUACUAGUUUGUUUGUUUCGUUGCAAACCUGCACCCAUUGAAGCUUGCGGGAAAUCCUCCACAUGUUUUUUUUUCAUCCCUCAUUAUUAUUAAUAUUAUCAUCAUCGUGUUAUGCUGAGUCUGCUGAGCAUCCAUCGUAUACAGACCUGAUGUGCUUGUUUUCAAUGAUGGACACUUCUCUUAGUAAAUGGAGACAUCAAUGAUGGACCACACAACCCCCCACCCACAUGAUAUGAUAUACUUUGCCCUUAAAAAGUGAAAAAAAAAGGAGAAAAGCCCCAUAUGAAAAAGCAGCUUUCAGCUUUCCGAACGAUCAAAUGUGCUACGAGAGACUAGUUUCAGGGACUGGAACUGGAAGUAUGCUGCUUGGCCGCCCUGCUUUUUUGACAAUGCAUGCAUGCAUGUGACAUUCAAUAUUGUGCAUCCAUUCAUUGCUACCUCAUUUUCAUGGUGUCGUUUCCUCUUCCUCAACUACCCCAUCGUUGUCUCCCAUAAACAAAACCAUGCAUGCAAUCCAGUCGACAAAGUUCGCCGAUCUGCACAUUCCAUUUCCCGGCCGACUUAGAGUUUUCAACUCUUUUUAGAAUUUCGUUCAUCAAUACUCAAUACUGCGAACUUCCAAAGCUUGCACCACCUACAAAUGAGAGCCGGCCCGCCAAGGUUAAAGUGGGACACAGUCACCAACAUCAUCCACGCGGGACACCCAUUAUUUUUAUGCCGAUUGGGUUUUGGCUUUGUGGAGAAUGAGCAAACAAGAUAAGGUGGCUACAUGUAGGAGUCCAGAUCCUGAAGGUUUGGGUACCUAACCAGACAAAUAAUACCGUCCAUUUCAGUACUGAAUGCACCACACAAACGGAAUAUCUAAAGAUGCACUCAAUCUAGGAGAAGUGGGAACAUCCCACACAUGGCCAAGAUGCUACCUGAAACGGCAUGCAUGCAGCUAUGCCCUCUGGCAUUAUAACGAAGAAAAUGCACAAUCUGUAAUAAUUCCUGUAAGCGACCUAUAGUUCCAAAAAUAAAAAAUAAAAAUUGCACAAUUUUGUUUUAGGGGGUUGGGAAGAAACCCCAGACAUUGGCAGUCAGUUUGCAGGAUGAGAGACAAAAUUUGUUUGUCAAUCAGAUUGGCUGUGGUAACUCCGAGAAUUAUUUACUCUGGCAUUGAUCUCUGUAAAACAUCAAUAAAGACCAUGUCAAAGUUUCGACAGCAAGAGUAUAGAUGCAUAGUCGGCAAAAAGCCUACAGCAAUCUUCUAAACAGAUCCGAUUCUAACAUCCUAAUGGAUCUCUCCAAACAAAACAAACUAGCCACAGGGCCACCUCUGCUGAGAGCAACAACUUAGAUUCAUAAAAAAUAUGUGGACCUUUGUAAACAGCAACUCAAUUCUUGGCUGUGAUGGAGUUAUUUUCCUUGAUCCUUGCUCGAUUGUCCAGUUUGACAAAACGUUUUAGGUCCUCGCAAGGAAGAAUUUCUAUGUCUUUCCUUCUUAGCUCGCUGAGUACUGGGCGUUUGUCAACCAGGUAUGACAGCCAAUCAGGGUAUUCUGCAUCUGGCAAGAGUUUUGGGUCUGUUCCAUUCUUGAGAAUAGUGGCACCAACAACUGUAGUGGAUUUGACUUCUUUACUGAGCAUUGAUUCCUUUGGAGCAUCACCAGCCCCACCACCUUUAGAGCCCUUCCUUGCUUUGCCACCCCAGCAGAAAAUUUUCGGCAGCCCCCCACUCCAACCACCUCCUUGGGGAUACCAACACUUUGUAAUGCUCUAAAAUAAUUUGCUGACAUGUCUUUUCCUGUUGCACCAACAACAAUAAUUACAAGGAUGAAUGAAGCAGACCCAUGCUUACACAUUUGUUUCUCUUAAUUAUCCCAUGAUCUAUAAUGAAGUCAAGUGUUCUGUGAAGGUGAGGCCAACAAUAUGUGCUGUUUAGCCUGCAUAACACUCCAAUGCAAAUGAUUAUGGGGACCAACACUGCCUAGAGGCAUCAAUCGUAGGUCUUUUGCUCACUCUAGCUUGCAAAAGCCAUACUAUUCUACUUUAACUCUCUUCCAGAGGACAAUUCAAGGUCAGUGAUGGCCACAAGAUGAUGUGUUAUCUCCAGGAAAUUGGAGAUAGACAAAGACUUUGAGUCCACAACGACACUUAUUUGUGAUGUCACUCACCACGAGAUCCGAAGCACCUGGAGCUAAUUGUGUCGCUGCCUUGCAAGUAAUUUACGACGAACUUUUACAGAUCACUAGAAAUCCAUGACGCCCUCCAAAUUCCAACACCAACUAGCAACAGUUUUGCAUAAACCAAGAUAAAUUCCAACAGCCACAGCAGUUUUGUCCUCUGCACUGAAGCUCCAUCAUUUACCAGCAAUACAUAGCUCACUUAAGCAACCAUGUAGUACUUGUGGAAGUAGCAUGUCAACCAACUCCACUUGAAGUAAUUUUGCUAAAUAAACAGAAGAUCAGUUUAAAAGAAAGGAGGCACUCCAAAUAGCAGCAAGGGGGGUAAAUCAACUUAGGACUAAAAAGAGGUAGACAUAGGCUGCAUGGAAAACCAAGCUAUCAUGCGCAGUUCAAUUGGUGGGUUGUUUAGGCUGAUUAGUGUGUACAUUCAUUUGUUACAGAAGGCAAGCAUUAGAAUGGGGUUUAAUGACAACGAGCCGGUCAAGGACAAUUGGACACGACUUAGUUCAAGCUGUAUAUUUUUGUGAACACUAGCAAUUACGUAAUACACCAGUGAUUAGCACUUAGAUAUGCGUCUGGAGCAAUGGAUACUUCUAUUCACAAACCAAUUUCAUAUUCAAAGAUCCGCCAACGUGGUGAACAUGGUCCAAAAAACAACAGCAAAGGAGGAGAUUGAAAAUCACAAUAGAGUUUGCUCACCCCAAAACUAAGACCAUAUGUCAAACAAAAUUUUCCUAGCUGGAUAAGCAGGAACCAAGAAAGGAUCAAUUUGUCACAUACUGAGAAAAGUUGGGAAAAGCAUAAUAAUCCACCUCCUUUCAUGUAAUGUAACAUUCAGAAGCUUUCCAAUUAUCAACUACCAAAGUCAAAUCCAAAAGAAAAAUUCCAUCAAAGAAGGCAAACUACCUAGAGUAUCCUUCUUCUCCCAUAAAACAAAACCAACAUAUAAACAAACUCCGAUACUACAUAUCAAUUCUGCACCAUCAUACCCUUUUCUGCCCCUCAGGUAGACACAGGAUCCAAAUCAAGAAGAAAUUUUGCAAUGCAUUUUUCGUUUUUAAAAGAAGAAGCAGAGGGAUGAUGGCGUUUUAAGUUUAGUAACUGAUAGGAGUAAUAUAUUUUGAAAUAUAAACAGGUCAUCUAACACUUUUACCGCUGAGCGGAAUGGAGCUCAGAGGAUCAAAACAGAUAACCCCAACAAAACAAAUUUGAGACACACACAUAUUUCUGUACCUUAAAAGUGGUAACUAAUCAUAACAUAAGAGAAUAAUGAAAACAAGUCACUAAACAAGGAGUAUUAAGUACCACGUACUAGUAGUUAAUUUGGUAACAGCCACAGCCGCCGCCGCCGCCCAAUGGCUAGCUUGCCUCUUUGGGGUGUUUCCGCCUCUUGAAGUGUCUCCCAGACAGGGGUCAGUAGUGGCUGGUGAGUGGUGGCUGAGAGUACAGUUGAGGUUGAUUGUUUGCUGGGUAAAAUUAAUUGGGCUUGGUGCCCUUCGGGUUCGGUUCCGUGGUUGUAGUCCUAGUUGGGAGAGAGCCACGUCCAGGGAUCGAGUCCCCGGGUUUACCUGGUCGGUGAUGUUGGACAGCCUCUCCCGGCCACGCAGUGGAAUUAGUUGGAUCGUACGGUAACCAGCCCACGGAUCCAGAUACCCACUGCAUUGACCAAAAAAAAAAAAAAUUAAUUGGGCUUGGCUACCUGGGCCUUAUCCCAGGCGGGGGUCCAAGGUUCUCACAAAUUUUUUUAAUUAACAUUUUUGUAUUUGUGAGGGUUAGAAACUUAGAAUAGCAAGUCUCUAUCAAAAAAAAUUUUUUAUUUUGAGGUUAAUCGUCGCUUAUCUACUCUACACCUACUUUUACUGUUACUCUAACCUAUUCUAAAUGGAAGGUCCAACUGAACGUACAGGAAAAUCGAUGAAAACUGAACCAUCAUCGGAUUAGAUAGGUGCACUAUGAAUCCGUAUGAAUCUAGAAGAAGGCAUUUAAAAUGGCAAGUCACAUGACAAAUGAUAAAAGGUAAGAUUUAGAUUCUUAACCUCCCACCCCACAAAAACUUAAAGUCUUUAGUGACGGCCAAUGGUCCAAAUGGCCGUAAGUUUGAACAGCAAGCAUCUCAACUAGGGGUAUUCACGAAUCGAGUCGAUCGCGAGUGGCUCGAGUAUGAGCUCGACUCGAGCUCGGUCAAUAUUAAGCUCGAGCUAAUUAAGUUGAACUCGAACUCAAAAACAUUAAACUCAAUUAUAUAUAUAUAUUUAUUUUAAUAGUAAAAUUACACAUAUAUCCCUAAUAUUUUAUUAUUUGUUAAAAAAUUAUUAUUUUAUUUAUUUUUAAAAUAAAUAAUUAUUUUUUAUUUUUUUAAAAAUAAAUUUAUUAUUAUUAUUAUUAUUUUAAACUCAAUCUCGAGCUUGAUAUUUUGAGCUCGUCGAGUUCGAACUCGAGUUCGAGUUUUACAAAAUUAACUGGAGGCUCGACUCGAUUAGGCCAAAUCUCGACUUGACUCGACUCGGCUUGUUUGCACCUUAAUCUCAACCAAUAUCUUUACUAGUUAAACAAAUGUCGACUACACACUAUUCCUAUUAAAAGAUUAGCAAUUACAUAUACCAUGAAUGUAUAAUUAAGCGGAGUUAGAAACUCGUACAAUUCCUGAAUUGAAUGAGUGUGUUGUAACACUCUGAUUACUAACCAUAAUAGUUGUUUCCAUACAUAAUACUAGUACAUGAGAGAUUGGUGGGCUGUCGUAUUCAUAAGUGUAACCCAAAAGAUAGGAAAAAGUGGGGGUGUUCCGGCGGGUUAAUGAGGUGAAGCAACCGCCUAAAGGCAUCAAUUCAAAGGGGGUGGUAAAGCGCCUUUUUUUUUUUUUCUCCUCUCUUUUCAACAUAAGUAGAUAACAUGCGAAGAGCUGUGGUGACCUGGAGGUUUUUCGUCGUCCUCUCACGUGCCGCGCAUGUGGGUUGAGAGCAUUACGUUGUUCGCGCAUUGCGCGACGGCUUCCGCUUUGUUCUUGUUUUUCUCCCCUGACAGUAACCCAUGUGCCUUCUGCUGCAUUGCCUGCCGCAUUAAUGGACUUGUUUCUCUAUCUGGCGGUAUCCCAUGCCCUUCUUCCCAUUACCUUCUCUCUCUCCUUCUUUUGCACAAUGUUGCUCUGUUUCUUAUCCUCUAGCCCUGGUACAAGAGCCUGUCAAGAUAUCCGUUUCUCUUCUAACCACGCAAGGAGCAUCGAUCGUCGGUCUCUCGCGUUCUCUGGGUUGCAGGGGUCCAACCGUUUGGUUCUCUUCCUCCUCCUCCUUUUUUUUUUUUUCUAAUUUCUAACCCUAAGAGUAUCGUAUCUUAUCUCCCGCCGCUCUUCCUCCUGCUCUCCCUUCUUUCCCCUUUGCUCUCCCUUGCCCUAUCCGUAUACCUCCAUUACUCCCUUUCCUCCUUCCCUUUACUCUACAACAUCAUUCCCAUUUGCAGAGACGGCUCCGCCCCUCCUCUCCUCUGCCUUUUUUUUUAUAAUUUCUGGACCUAAUUUCUGCUUAGCCUCCAUCAUUUUCAUUAGCAAUAGGUUAAUUUCUGCUUUCUUCUGCCAACUCCAUUCAGCUACUCCCUUUCCUCCUUCCCUUUACUCUACAGCAUCAUUCCCAUUUGCAGAGACAGCGCCGCCCCUCCUCUCCUCUGCCUUUUCUUUUUUUAUUUUUAUUUUAAUUUCUGGACCUAAUUUCUGCUUAGUCUCCAUGAUUUUCAUUAGCAAUAGGUUAAUUUCAGCUUUCUUCUGCCAACUCCAUUCAGUUGAACCCGUUUUGUUUUUAAAGCUUGGUGAUUUUCCUCUUUUCCUUUGAUUUUGCUUUUCUCGUUGGCUUGUGAAGGCUACCAAAUUUCUCAUUUUCUAUUAAAUGUGGUCUCAAACAAGCUUUUCCAUUCCAAACGUGGGCGGCUCCGCAGAACCCUAAUCCACAGUAAGCUCUUAAACCUUCGGCCGCCGCAGCUUUCUUCUUCUUCUUUUUCUUCCCCGUGCUGCGCUGUUUUGGUAAAUUUGGUUCUUGCAAGGAAACAAAUAAAGCACAUGUGCCAUGAGGUAAGAACCAAGAAUAUUUCAAUUUUUUUUUGAAUUAGAGUAAAUUGAUUUUUUCAUUUGAUUAAUCCUGUCCAGGUUUGAAAUGGAUAGGGUUUGGCAAUGUUUAAGAAUCCAUGGCCAGGAUAGUGCUGAGAUUCAUGGGUGUUAUGUAAUCAGUUGAGCCCGUCAGGAUUUGUUGCAAGAGAUCGUCUUGGAGAGGCAAGUGCUUGUUUAUUUUGAUGGUAUAUUGUGGAUUGUAGCUUGAGAUAAUACUGUACAAAUAGUUCUUUAAUUCAACUAUUUCUCGAUGCUAUGCAGAUUCGAUGUUCGGAUGCUAUUCAUUGACUUUUCGAAGGGUUUCCUGAGGUACAUGUUUUCCGUUUUUGCAUUUCCUGGUCGCAAUAUGGCGACAAUGGUGUUGGGCACUUGGUCUAAUUUACUGGUUUUUAAUAGCUUGGCCUGUUGCAUUUGGUGGUUUGAUGUUUUUUUGUUGGUUUCCUCUUCUUUCUCAUUUUUUGCAUCAAAUGAAAUGCAUAUUUCAAAUUUUGAGAUCUUGGUUUACUCGUUGUGUGAGGAAAUAAUUAGGUUGAAUGAUUAGUUGCAUUAUCAAUGAAAUAAUUUGGAAUUGUAUGUGGAUAAGUAUCAGUUGAGUUGAAGGUUAGUAAUUAUGUGACCAAUAAUAUUUCCAGUUCAAUGUUCCACUAAUCUACCGCUUUCAGCAGUUUUCUUCCUCAAACUUCCUCUAUCUUUUCUCCCAUUCCUACCUCUCUCAUUCUCCUACUUCUGCUUUCUCUCCUCCCCCUCUCGUUGUAUCAAAAGAUUUUGCUAUGUUUCUAUCUGUCUCAUUUUCUUCCCCUCUUAGAUUUGAGUUCUGUUUUGUUAGAUUUGCUUUUGAUGAUUAUAAAGGUUUCCUUCUCUUGUGCCUUUUAGAUGGUUACAUGAAUUUUGAUUAUUGUUUGUAUUUUGUUAUCACAUCAUUCUGGGAUGCUUAGCUUCCCUUUUUUUUAUCUUUUUAUUUUAUAUUUUUUCUUUUUAGUCCAUGAUUUUUCUUUUUCCUCUCAAAUUUUCAACCAAGCAUAUAUGGCCAAAGAAAGCAAAACUGGAGAAGUUGUUGCUUUAAAGAAGAUACGCAUGGACAAUGAAAAAGAAGGGUUGUUGUUAUUCUACCCAAUUUCUUAUUUUCUUAGCUUAUGACAUUUUAAUUUCCUUAGCGGAUAAAUGGUUAUGCCUGCUCUUUUUAGAACACUCAUAAUUUUUUCUUGUAGUUUCCUGUAACUGCCAUGCAUGAAAUAAAAAUUCUAAGGAAGUUGUAGCAUGAAAAUGUCAUUAAACUGAAAGAGAUUGUGGCCUCCUGGUACUCAUCCUUCUUUUUCAGAUCAUGAGGUUGAUAAGCAAGUGAAUCAAGGUAACUAGACGUGCAGAAAUUUUCAAGUUUGUGGUUCCUGUUUCUGUAAGAAUUCAAUGCCCCUGAACUCCCAAAUACUGAGAUCGAAAAUGGUAUUUUGUUUUUGAAAUGCAGAAGGUAAUAGAUACAAUGGCAGUAUUUACAUGAUUUUUGGGUAUAUGGACCACAGCUUGACGGGACUUGCUGAUUGUCCUGGAUUGAGAUUUACAAUUCAACAUAUCAAUGUAUGUGACCUUGGACAAGGAGGAUUUACUCAUUAUAAUGAGCAUCCAUCACUUUUUUUUUGUCAACAAAGCAUCCAUCACUCAACUUGUUCUAAUAAUAUGUAUUUGUUGUGUUAUAUGAAGUAGCUGCUUACUGGUCUUCACUACUGUCAUCUCAAUAACGUGCAGAUAUCAAAGGUUAACUUUUUUAUUCUUUUCUAAACAUAUUAUCUAGGAUUUUAGGUGUGCAUAUGAUACUAUGUGUUUGGUUUUUGGUUUGGCAGGCUCCAGUAUGCUCAUAGAUAUAAGGGAAACCUGAAGCUAGCAGAUUUUGGACUACCAUAAUCAUUCUCCAAUAACCACAGACCAUGGAUGGUGAUUUUCCCUUAUAGCUGACCCAUGUCUUUGAUAUUAUAACUUAAUUUUCAAUCAAGAAAAUUUACUCUUCUAUGUAUUGAGCAGACCUUCAGAGUUGCUUCUUGGAGCUACGAAAUAUGAUUCGGCAGUAGACAUGUGGUUAGUUGGCUGUAUUUCUGCUGAACUUUUGCAUGAAAAACAAAUCUUACCUAGAAAAAAUGAGGUUAGGCAUAUACCUUGAGUUGUUGUACUCUUUUUUCAGCCUUUUUUUCAUUAUUUUUUAAGAAAAUAUCUGUCUUAUCUUAAUUUUUGAAUUAUCUUAUCUUAUUUAUCUAUCAAGGAAUUUUGAAAGAGUUAAGUAGAUGGUUUUUCGUCUUUUUCUUACAAUUGCUUUUCAUGAAAUGAACUUGGAUGAUUGUCAUGAUUAUUUAUUAGAUUGGUUCAGUUUGUAUGCACUAGAAGAAAGGAUAUGGAGCAUUGUUGGCUUUUAGAGCAUCCCAAGUUCAUAUACUUAAUAAUCUGCCCAUGAUGAAAGCUUUUUAUUUCAUUUAACUUUUUUAGCACAUCAAAAUCUUGCUAAAUGAUUACAGACUCUGAAUGAUUACACUUAUUCUUCUUGAAUGAUUUUGAAUGCUUUUGACUGAAUAAAUAGUGUGUACAGACUAGGAAUUCAUUGGUUAUUUAUGCUUAUGCAUUUUAUGAUUAUGUUUCUGAUUUUUUGCUGCAGAAUGCUGAACUGAGUGUUCAUGUGGCUAAACAGUAAAGAGGAAGGAAUCUGCUGUCCUGUGUUAGGCAUUCAUGUCGUUUGAUUAUGAGUGCAGUUUCAUUGGAUGUUUUUUAGUUAAUGUGUAUUAUGUAGUUAUAGUUGUUAGAGGACUCAAGCACAGAAAUUCUGUAAUAGCGUUGUUGCCAUUUCAGUUUGUAUAUACCUUACUCUUUUUAUAUGUAUUUAUGGAUCAUGAUGUUAUGUAUUUUUUUUGUAUUCCAUGCAGUUAGUGACUUUCUCUGAACAUAUUUUGUUCUAUUUGCUUAGAUAGAUGUUUCUGCUUGAACAUUGGUUGAAUAAUGGUAAGGGUACAAUGUGAAAAUGGUAUAUUAGGAGCUCGGGAAGAUGUUCUUUCCUAGCUCAUGAAGUUGAAACCCACUCAAUCGCUGAUGAAUAGCAGUCACACUAUACAAGUGAACAUUGAUCAUAUAAUUUCUGAAGCAUUCUUGAUGGGAGAAAAAGACUUUGGGGUUAAGAAUCAAGAAAUCAUAUAGAGAAAAAGUUGAAAGUAAUGUAAGGCGAGAUUAUAGAGCUUUCCAAAAAUUGAUUCUUUAUUUGGUUCAUUAUUUUUGAAAUAAGUUCAAUUCUUGGACCUCCUUUUUUUUGCACAUUGCUUUUUCAUUUUUUUUGUGUUCGUCCUAGAUUAGAUUAAUAGUUUAAAUAUACUUUCAACAGUAAUUAAUUUAUAAUCAGUUCCACAAUUUAGAUCUUAAUUUUCUUUUUAUGACGUUUGUAUAACCUAUAAAAGUGUUGGGUAUAUCAUAAUUGUUAACGUGUCUAAAAGAAAAUGCCUUCUUAUAUACAAAACAAUUAAUGUCAUUUUUAUAUACAAAAACAAGUAAUGUCAUUUUUAAUGUGAAGUGCCUUAUUGAAUUUCACUUUGUGUAUUUCAAGCUUCUCUGGCCUCCAAAGACGAAAAUUCGUUGAGAAGAUUUUGAGUGCCCUGCCCAGUUUCUUUUUUUUUUUUUUGAAGUUUAAGGAAGGGAUAUUUGAAGUUUAACGACCGUUAUACAACUUUCAAAAUAAACAAAUUCAUUCUAAUUUUUUGUUUAUAAUUUUAUAAAACAAAUCGCGGUCACUUUCACAAAAGUCAUAUUUUUCCAUAAAAGACCAACUCUUUAUGACUUUCCUCCAUUAUAAGAACAAAGUACCCAUUUUUCCAUAAACAAAGUUAUUUAUUGGAUAAAAUAAAAAUAAAUUCGUUUUUCAAUAAAAACACCAGUUCUUUAUGACUUUCCUCCAUUAUAAGAACAGAGUACCCAUUUUUUCAUAAACAAAUUUAUUUAUCGGAUAAAAUAAAAAUAAAUUCAUUCUCCAAUAAAAUACCAGCUCUUUAUGACUUUAGAAUGAAUCAUUACAAUCUCGCUGUCUCUAUCACCAUCAACUUUUGACUCCCUACUUCUUCCAUCCCACCCAACACCAGAACGAAAAAGAUUUCACAAAAGAUCUAAUCUUGCAUGAAAUGAUCAACUAUAAAGCUUUAUUAAUAUGCCAACCUUUUUUUAAAAUUAAGAAACAAAAUGUAUCAAUACGAGACAAACAAAUACAAAAUAUCAUUUUGUUAUUUUAAUUAAGAUACAUAUUUAAUAUACGUAGACAGAGCAAAACUAUAAUGAAACGAACAAAUUUAUCUCUCAUUUGUAUAUAAUUAUUUAGAACUUGGCAUAAACAAGUGAUUGCAACCCAAUAAUUUAGGAAAAAUUAUUGAAUUUCACUUUGUGUAUUUCAAGCUUCUCUGGCCUCCAAAGACAAAAAUUCGCUGACAAAAAAAGACUUGCAGAAUACCUAUACUAAAAAAUAUACUUUUCUACAUAAAUUAUUAUUUUGAUUAGUUCAAAACUGGGCAGGCAUCUUAUAUUUCUAUCGCGCGAAGCGCGUUCAUGCCUCCUAGUUUGGGGAGAAAGUAUAGAAGAUUGCAUAAGUAGGUAGGCGAGACCCGCACCGCAGCCCAACUGAAAUUAUGGGCUGAGAAUUGCAAUAGAAUUAGUAGGGUUUUCGAUUGUCCGCAAAUUUCUUGAAUAGCAAUCCACCCUUGGAAUUUGACCCUUCCCCGAAAAAACAAAGCCCACCCCUCCCCACCCCACCCCACCGACGCCCCCGGCCCCAAGCUGCCCUCUAAAACCCUCGCUUUUCCGGCUCCACCAUUCCAUUCCCCUCUCUAUCUCUCUCUCUCUCUCUCUGUUAUCAGAUUCCGACGUAGUUGGUGGGAAAAAUGGGUAGCAGCCAGGCAGCAGUUUCGUUCCUGACCAACAUAGCCCGCGCCGCCUUUGGUUUGGGUAUCGGCGCCACCGUCCUCAACUCCUCCCUCUACACCGUCGACGGAGGGCAGCGGGCUGUCCUCUUCGACCGCUUCCGCGGUGUCAUCGACGACACCGUUGGAGAGGGUACUCACUUCCUCAUCCCCUGGCUCCAGAAGCCCUUCAUCUUUGACAUCCGUACCCGCCCCCACACUUUCUCCUCCAUCUCCGGCACCAAGGAUCUCCAGAUGGUCAACCUCACUCUCCGGGUCCUCUCCCGACCCGAGGUCCCCCGCCUCCCUAUCAUCUUUAAAACCCUUGGCCUCGAGUACGACGAGAAAGUGCUUCCCUCCAUCGGCAACGAGGUCCUCAAGGCCGUUGUCGCCCAGUUCAACGCCGAUCAGUUGCUCACCGAGAGGCCCCACGUCUCUGCUCUGGUUCGUGACAGCUUGGUUCGCCGCGCCAAGGACUUCAACAUCGUGCUGGAUGACGUCGCCAUUACUCACUUGUCCUAUGGGGCCGAGUUCUCCAAGGCCGUGGAGCAGAAGCAGGUGGCUCAACAGGAGGCUGAGCGCUCCAAGUUUGUGGUUAUGAAGGCUGAGCAGGAGCGGAGGGCCGCCAUCAUCAGGGCUGAGGGUGAAAGUGAGGCUGCCAAGUUGAUUUCUCAGGCAACUGAAGCUGCUGGGACUGGUUUGAUUGAGCUCCGGAGAAUUGAGGCUUCCAGGGAGAAUGCUGCCACCUUGUCUAGGAGUGGGAACGUUUGGUACCUCCCCAAGGAAAACAACAUGCUUCUGGGUCUCAAUGCUGGCCGCUAGAUUAGGUACUCUCACUAGCAUUUUAGACACCUUAGCGUUCUCCCAUAUCUAGUUCAUUAACAUUUCAGGCUUCAUGACUAGUGUAUGUGUUAUUUUCUGUGUUCUGUCUGUUGCCAAAAUGCUCCCAAAUUAAAAUUUUAAGUUAUUAGACAGAAUAAAAUGAUUCAGGGAUGUUUGAACUCCCCCCAAAAAGCUUUCUCUCUUCUUUGACGCAUUUUGACCCCUUUUUUUGGCUGAUUAAUUUUGUGGAAGCACGCCCUUUAUAGCAGAGUAUGAAAUUGUUAGAAAUGCAUUUUCUUGACAGUUCCCUGCUGUAUCGGUUUGCCGGUCAUGAACUUCACUUCCACUCUGAGAUACAGGUGUGGGUUUGCUUUUGGCUAUCCGAGCAGACUGAGGUCCAGCAUGGUUAUUGCUCAUCUUGUUUGAUACCAUCAAUCUCUUUGUUCACCUGAAGGUUGAUAUCUUGGUUUUAGGAUCAAUCCACUAAGGUUUGCUCGCAGUGGUAUAUGUAACUCUGAUGCAUUUGUCUAUCUGUAAAAGUUGUUAAAUCAUAGUUUGCUUGAGAAAACUAUCAUGUUUUAUUUUAAGGUAUGUGGCAAUUUGCUUUCAAGGUUUCUAUGUCAUUGGCCUGCUUUUGUUGCGAUUGAAGUUUAGGAGUAUGGUUUGUAGGGGUGUAUUGUGGACCAAGCUUUCAAACCAAAAAAGUCUUCUUGUAAUAUGUCAUCAACUCAACAACUUAUUGCAUCACGGAGCACCUUGCUGUUUUCUGCUUGUAUAUGUGCAUGAAUUGAACUGGUCUGAAAGCAACUUCAAGCUUAUGCCCUUUGUCACACUGUUAACCAAAUGGAUUAAUCAGAAGCAAAGGGAAUUCUUUUCAGCUCUUUGGAGCUUUUGGAUUUUUAAUCCUGUUGAAUUUUUACUUUGGCACAAAUGGAUUAGUCUACAUGGGGCUGACAUAUAGUUGACCCAUGGAUGGUGGCUUGCUUCCUUCUUUUUCCAUGUUCCAUUUUGUAAACCAUUUGGUUCUGCUCUGUCUGAGUUUGCCAAUUUCGGUUCAUAAUUAUAAGUAUAUCAUGAAAGGUAUCAUUAUCCUGUCUGAUUGUCAUUGUAUUAUCACAAUUUCUAGUGCGUGUUUGGUAUUGUUUUUCUGGCAAGAUGUUUCAGUUGGGUUCAAAUAAUGUACUUGUGCAUGUCAGGCUGUGUGUAUAUGGUGGCCAACAGAGAAUAGAUAAGAAUCUUUUAUCCUGUGAGAAUGUAUUUAAUUCAGGUUCUAGCUUAAAAAGACAUCUACUGGUGACAUGAGCACACAUACUACCAGUGUUGAUAUCUGUAGAUGUGUGUGGUAGAAUGUUUGAUGCGUGUUGCAGACUUAUUUGUAUGCGUCUGUAAAUCUUUUCUUUGACAUCUUUUGAUAUUGUAAUUUAUAUUCAUUCUUAUCCAGGAAUCUUCCUCUUCUAUCUGCAUGGUCAUGAUUAGCAUUGCCGAUUAAGAUAUCCUUUGAAAUGAAAUUUAGCUGAAUUCCUUGUUUACUUCUCUGCUUGCAGGGCUUGUGUGGUUGGAGUGGCUGUUCUCAUAUUUUGGCAUCCUUAGUAGCUUUGUUUAAAUAUUUUUUAACAGCAUUUUAAUCUCUUAGUAUAAGCAAACCCUGAUCACUUUAUGAUCUUCAUUUUAUGGAGUUGCUGCUAUGCAUUCUUCUCUAAUCCCUCCCUCCCCAGUGGUGAAGUAGUUUUGUCGACAUGAUGGAAUUGUAAUAGCAGAACUCUAGACAUUCAAGUGCUCUGGUUUUGCAAAACCCAUUUUGGGAUGGAGGAUAUAAUCCCAUAUUGAACGGGCUGCGGGGCGCUUAACGCUUUCCUGCCAAAGAAUUUUUAACUCCUUUACCUGGCUUUGGAUUGUUUGAGGCAAAUACAAAAAUGAUGGAUUGUUUAUUUGACAAACAACUGAAAAAGGCGAUGGCUGGGGAGAGAUGGCUCCAUAUAACCUACUAACAAGUUACAUUUUGUCAAUUGCUAAUCACGCUUUUACAUAUUACUAUUCUAUUGGCACAUGUGAAUGUUAGUUAAUUCGCAAAAUGUUUUUGUUUAGGUUUUUUUUUUUUUUGUGUGGUUAUAACAAGUGCAUUCUUGAAUAUUUGUCUUGUGAAUGCACGAUGAUCUUAGUUAACCAAGGGGUGUGUGGAUUCCGUUUAUUGAAGCGUCUCUGGUAGCAUGUACGACUUAAUGUAAAUUCGGUUCAUUGUAAAGACUUGGAGUUUGGGACCCCUUAAGGUGAACGACAGGCAUGAAGUGAGGAAACGGUUAAAGUUCUUCGUACCUGCAAAGUUCAAUACGAACUGCAGAAGGUAGAGCCUGUCCAGGAUUAUAAGCUCUAUACCCUCUUUUGCCGAUGAUUUAAUGUCUCCCCUGAAGUUUACUGUAAUUGCAUGAUGGUACUUGGUACAAAAUAAAAAUUUUUUUUAAAAAAAAAAUCCAUUCCUCAGAACUACACUGGACGCCUUUUGUUGAUUUGUCAAAGACCAAGACUUCGAUUAGCUUUUCUUGCUCCAUUGUAUGAUCUUUAUUUUUGUGUUCGAUGUGUAUCCUUCGUGUGUGCUUGGGGCAUAAAGAGAUGGGACACCAAGGGUUCUGCCUGAUGGGUUCUGCACUUUUGUGGAGAAAUUAGAGAGUUCCAAGGGUUGGUUUUUGCUUUUGUUUGGAUUGUAAUUUUUCGCAUUUUCAAUCAACUGUUUUGUUUCAUAUUAUAUUAAAUUAUUAUAGUAUAUACUUUUAUAAAAACUCUUAAAAAUAACAAUUCAAACGGGCAUACUUGAGAAAUGUCAUGUCAUGGAAACAAGGAUGUCUCUCCAAUUCUCUCAUACCUCAGGGUUGUAUGCGAAAUUUCUCUCUCUAACCCCCUGCUUUUAGAUAUGUAUUAAUCCAUAUCCAUACGCACACACAUAUAUACCCCCAUAAAUGCCAUAAAGCCUGAUGCAUUUAUGGCUUUGAAAUUGGAGUUGUUCAAUCUUUACAUCUGUAAGAACAAACGUUUUCGCCACGACGGGCCGACGAUCGAGCAUCUUAAUUAUCUGCAAGCGAAUCCUCAUAAUUACCAGUACUGAUUGUUUUUGGUCAUCUUCCGGAGCAAGUAAUUUAUUUCAAUCUUGAUAUAUUGAUUUAGUCACGACAUCAAAUAACGGUGUAGAGACCGUGGAAGAAAUGGUUUAAGAGAAGGUAUGGCUUUUAUUUUCUCCCGACUUUUACGUAUCAAUCUCAUAAAGAUAAGCGGCGGUAAUAUAUAUUCAACUUCUUCCCAAUUUGUCCACAUCAAUCUCAUGGAGAUAAGGCAGCCCCUGUUAUUUAUACGAGCAAAACUCAGAUAUUUCAUCCCUACAUUCUUCACUAGCCUCCAUAUAAAAACUGUCUUCGUCUAAGGUUUCGUUUGUUAAAAUUGAAUCUGAAUUCUGAAACAAUUAAUUUGCUAAAUUUUAAGUACUGAAAAAAUAUAUGAAUGUCUGAAUUUUAAUGCUAAACCUAUUUAUACUGUUUGAUAAAUAUUUAUAACUGAAUGCUUAAUAAGUUUAAUUUGACAAUUUUACCCUUAUAUCCUUUCAUUCAAAAAAGAAAUAGAAUUAUGAUUUAAUUAGUUUAAAAUUGUUAGGUAUGAAAAUGGCAAUAUUUAUUUUUAAACAAAUUAAUAUAAAAGAUGAAAUAUAUUAUAUGAGAAGUAUGGAUAAGAUGUGAAAGUCAUUAAAAAGUGAGGAAAGAAAAACUAAAAAUCGUUAGAUAGAGAAUAUUAUGUUGUUUAAUUAGAUAAGAAUUUUGAACAUAAUUAACAAACACGGAUAAAUUUGAUAAAUAAGAUAAGGUAAUUGAAGUAAUUCUAUUAAUUCUUAUCAGAAUUAAGCAUUCAGUUAGGAUUCUUGUGCUGAAAAAAAUACACACAGAUUCAUCACUGCUUAAUAAGUUCAGCAAAUAGAUUUUCAUUUAUCAAACAUUCAGAACAUCUGAAUGUCUGAAAAAAUUUAGAUUCAACACUUUUUUAUAUUAUCAAACAGACCGUAAAUCGAAUUGACGACCAGAAACUACGGGUAAACCCAUCGCAUUGAGCAAUUUUAAGUAAUCAAGAGGAGCGAUAAACCGCGCAGCACAUCAAUUUACAUGAUCAGUUUCACUACUCCUCAACAUCAGAAACCACCACCAACGGAGGAUGCUGAUUUUCUUGAACCCUAAGGGGCCUAGACUCGAUGGCACCAAAACCAAAACACAAAACUGGUUUGAGAGUGCAAAACCGGCAUUGCCGUGUGAAUAUUGACUUGAACGGUUAAACAAAGCGAAGCAAAAUAAAAAACACCAAGACAUGACCAAAAAGCAAAACAAAAUAAGAGUCUCAUCAGUGAAAUUGGCAGAAGCAGUUCUUAACGCCGCAAAGCAGAAGAUCCGACGCUGUGUGGACCAGACAAAAUUGGUAAGAGUCUAUACUCCCUAAACAAGACGCCAUACUAAAGAUGGAGAAACACUUCCAUCAGAAAUAGAAGCCGGAACAGCCUAUUGACUUUUUGCCAUGUGUCGAAUCAAGUCAACAACACGGUUGCUGCAACCAAAAAAAUUUUUAAAAAAAUGUAUUAACAUUUUUAUGUCCAAAAUAUGCAGAAUGAGCAAAUUAACGUAAGAUGAGAUGAUGCAGGGAUUCUUAGCGCAUAUCCAAAAUAAAGCUAAAACACAAUUCCAAAUCCAAAAAUAAAUAAAAUAAAACAAUAUAUCUCAAAUGUAAAUGGAUAGACUCACCUGUAACCCCAUUCGUUAUCAUACCAAGAGACCACCUUCACAAAGUUGCCAUUCAAAGCAAUACCUGCCUUGGCAUCGAAAAUGCUUGACCUGUACAAUGCAAUCAAUAGAUGAAAAAGUUAGAUCUCCAACCAGCACAAAUAGGAAGCUAAGAAUAUAUUUAGAAGCACUAGUGGCAUAGUUGCAAAAUAGUGGCAACAAACAGUGCAUCCGGAAACUGAAAAGGGACAAAUUCAUGAUAUAAAAUAGAAUCAGCAGAAAGCAAGGCAUUAAGGGAAAAGGGCCAAGAAUUACCUGCUGUCACCAACGAAGUCACUGGACACAACAUCAUCCUCUGUGUAACCCAGGAUUCCCUUCAAAUUAGUCUCAGACUCCUCCCUUCAAAAUAGAGUAAUUAAGAUUCAGUACAUGUUCCUGCGCCCUUCUGGGUUUUUGUUCUUUUUUGAAGAGGGGGGGGGGGGUGGUGGUGGUGGUGGUGUGGGUGGGUGGGGAAUUGAUGCAUGAGCUAUAAAAUUUCCCUUAUUCUUACUUCAUGGCAGCUUUGAUUUCAUCAUAUGUGGCAGCCUUCUCGAGCCUUGCAGUAAGAUCAACCACAGAGACAUCAACAGUUGGAACACGGAAAGACAUCCCAGUAAGCUUUCCAUUUAGAGCGGGUAGAACUUUUCCAACAGCCUGUACAGAAAGAGAUUACAUUAGUCAAGUUCUUAAUGUCUGUAAGAACACCAGAGGCAAUCUGAGUGGGAAUUGCACCUCAAAUUCCAUAGUUUGUAAUGCAAUAUUGACAUUGAGUUGUUUAGACCCGGUUUAGCUAAAUUUACUUUAAAUGGUCAAUUACAGAUUUCUUAGGAGAAAACAGUAUCACCAUGAUAUGGUUGCUUCUCAUAAACAGUUUUGCUUGUGGGGAAGUCAAAAAGCAUGAUCAAAUGAUGAACAGCCUUCUAGAUAGAAAUAAUAACACAAAGGAUGAUGAUGUAGAUGACAUAUGCACAGACUUAAUUAUGCAAGAAGUAUAUGCAUCGACCUAUUGAUAUCAAAAAUAGUAAGAUAAGAUUCUCAACAGUUGUGAUUCAAACAUUUAUUCACAAUGCUAAUACCUUGGCGGCACCAGUACUGCUGGGAAUAAUGUUGAAUGAUGCAGCCCUGCCACCUCUCCAGUCCUUCAUUGAUGGACCAUCCACAGUCUUUUGUGUGGCUGCAUCACAUCAUGUAAGUUAGGCAUCAAUUGAAUUCUUAACUGAAGAAUAAGAACAGAACGGAAUAAGCACAGUUGAGAAUGACGUACCAGUUAUGGAGUGCACUGUUGUCAUAAGGCCCUCAACAAUACCAAAUCUAUCAUUAAGAACCUGCCAAUGGUCACAUCUGAAGCCAUUAGUUUACAAUUCAUGGUCCCAAAGACUAAGAGGUGAGUGAACUGAUACAACAAAUUACUUUAGCCAAAGGAGCAAGACAGUUGGUUGUGCAACUGGCAUUGGAGACAAUAUCAAUAUCAGGCUUGUAAUCUUUCUCGUUCACACCUAUGACAAACAUUGGAGCGUCCUUACUUGGGGCAGAAAUGAUAACUUUCUUGGCACCUCCCUGACAGACAUGGAUAAAGAAUAUUCAACACAGAAUCUCUUUAAAUAAACAAAAAUAGGAUAUCUGAGAGAAUAAUCUAAUUGACUUAUAGACAAUCUUGCUUUAAAUGAUCAAUUUAGAAAGAAAACACUACCUUCAAGUGGGCAGCAGCUUUGUCCUUGUCAGUAAAGACUCCAGUGGAUUCAACAACAAAGUCAGCUCCAGCCUCACCCCAUGGAAUCUCCUCUGGGUUCCUGGUCAUUGGUCCGAAAGGAACUAUAAGAUACUAUAGGACUCGCAUGUUUCAAGGAACAAACAUGUGGGUUCGAAUAAGAAUGUACCUGCUGCCAAAGACAGUGACAGGCUUGUCACCAAAGAGAAUGGUCUUAGAAUCCUGGACCUUGAGCUCAUGCUUUUUGUAUUGGCCGUGAACAGUAUCGUAUUUGAACAUGUAGAUCUAAAGUGGGGAAGGAAAAAAUACAAUCAAACGGAAAUCAAAAUCCUGUUAGCACGCAUUACAAAAGGCACCAAAAGCAGAUCAGGCACUCAAGCAAAAGGAUAUAAGAUAAAACGAACCAUCCACCCCAAGGAUUUAAAAACAGUUGCAUACAUCACAAAAUUAUAGGGAAAAGUGAAUGCCCUGGGUACGAGAGGUUUAAGAUACUGAACAAACAAGAUAAAAAUAAUAUGGACAGACAUGAAUACAAGAGCAGUAUGUACACAUGAUCCCUAACCUUACACUACUAUUAGAAGCAUUCAAGUACCAGAGGUUUAAGAUACUGAACAAACAAGAUGGACCAGAUCGAAACAGAUCCUAGAAAAGAACAACAUAUCUAAGUUGGAGACAACGAUCAUAAGUUGGCAGGUUACGUUAUUUGUUCAUUUCAUUCAUAUCGCAUACGGAACAACGAUCCAGCGAUGAACACAUCGAUGACAAAAAUUUCCGAGUGAACGACAAAGCAACAUUUAAAAGAAAAAAAAAAAAAAAGAGGCCCUAGAAAUAAAAAUCUUACCAAAUUUUGCUAAAGACAAUCAGAUAAAGUAGUAGGAUGGAAGAAGAGAACAGUGUACGUUACCAUGUAAUCAGUGGUGAUGAAUGGAUCAUUGACAGCGACGAGUUCAACGUCAUCACUCUGGAGAGCGACUCUGGCGACCAAACGGCCGAUCCUUCCAAAGCCUAAAAAUGCACACACAACAAACGAUGAAUCAUGAAAUGGUAAGGAAAAGGUGAAAUCAUAAAUACUCGGAAAAGAAAACGAUAACAUUGGACGGAUCGGGAUACCGUUAAUUCCGAUCUUAAUUUUGGCCAUAGCUACGAGGAUGAAGACGAUAGAAGCUAAAGCAGUAGUAGUAGGAGACUGUUGAUAGUGGCAAGGUGGGCGGGCAAUAGAACAGUAGUAGUAGGGUAGACGUGGACGAAUGAUAGUAUAUAUACAGAAAAGGGAUCCUUGGGCGAGGGGCAGCAGCGCCAAAAUGGCAAAAUGGGGGGCGGAAUUAACGAGGGUUUGAAAGUAGUGUGGGAUAGAAGACCACUUACCACCCUGGUAUGCUCCAUGCGGAGCGCUUCGAUCGGGGACGACCUAUGCAUCGCCGUCCAUCUUGGGGGUACCGCUCCUUUUCGAUGGUUAAUAUGAGCGUGGAUGUCGCUUGGGUUUGUGGUGCGCAUUAGGCACCCAACCCCGCAUGCCAUCAACAUCUGAAAUUCGGUUAGAUGAUCGUUGGUUGGUACCAUUUUCCCAAUUAGGCCCUAUAUGAUAAAAUUAAGAGUGUUUGGAAUCUGAAUUCUAAAAAAGAAAAAUAUUAUUUACACUCUCACGAUUCAUUUUACCUUAUAAUCUAAUAAAUAAAAACUAUAUGAUUAAAAUGAUAGUGAAAGUAGUGUGAUUAACAAAAAUGACAGUGCAAAUAACAUUUCAUUUCUACAUAUUAAGUGUUGAAAGUAUGAGUUGCUGAAUUAAUAAAGUUAUGUGUUUGAUAACUAAUGAAUUAUAGCAUUGAAUUGAAAUAUCGCACAAGUGUUAUACUUUUGUCUUUGGAAAAUUUGCCUUUAUUUAUGUAUUUAUAGAGAGAAAAAUGUAUUUUGUAUGAGAGAAAAUAAUUAAAUAAUCGAGAAAUAGUACUCAAGUGUGUGUAUUUGUAUGCGUGUGUGCACACGUAUGUGUGUCGAAUAAAACCAGAGCAGCACAUACGUUUUUGUGAGAGAGCAUGUAUAAAAGUAUAUUACAUGUACGUAAUAUAUGUGAUCCAUUCAGAAAAUCCAAUCAAAAAAUUUUCACUUAAAAUUUUGUACACAAAUUAACAAAUGCUUAAUAUAUUAAGCGGCUAGGUAUUUCAGUUAUCAAACAUGUUGAAUUCAAAAAGAUCUAAAUAAAUUAAUUUUUAGUAUUAACUUAAAUUAUAAAACAUGCCUUUAGUGAAAAAAUUUACCCUGGGUUUUCAAUUCUCUGCCACAUUGGCGAAAUAAUUAGGUUUGGUUUAGUUUGCAAAUUUUUCACGAAAAAAUGUGUAGAAUAUUUUUGGCACAUUUUUUAAUUAUUUUUUUAUCUGAUAUACAUUAUAUCUUUACAUUAUAUAUAUAUAUAUAUAUAUAUGUAUUUUUUUUUACAGAAACCCCUUAAUAUUUCCCAUUUAAACAAGCUAUUAGAUAUCCAAAAAUUAACCCUAGACUCCCACAAUGGAGAAAUAAUUAAAAGAAAUUGUUUGUGGCAAAUUAAUUAGGUCUUAUUUAGUUUGCGAGUUUUUCUUCAAAAAUUGUUUGUGAUGGCCAACAAUCCAAAAGGCUGUUGAUUUAAAAGGAAAAAGGCGUCUAAUUAAAAGGAUCACCAUUUCGCAGCCUCUAAUUAAGCAACUUGUCGACAAAAAAUACGCAAGAAUUUUACGUAUUUCAACGUACGCAAACUAUAAAAUGUCCCAAGCGUUCAAUUCUAAAGAUUCAAUAUUCUGGAUGGAUCUCUGGUCCACUGAAGCAGGAGGUGCACUUGCAGAAAAUUACAUUGCCCCUACAAAAAUCACGCCUCAUAAGGCAGCAAAACGCACUCCCCGGUUUUUUUUUUUUGGGUCCCCAUGUUUCUUGUCAUGUAAGUUUCCUUCUCCAAUCAACUUCCUCUUCCCCUUACCCAUUCUACCCCUUGUACUGAAUCCUAUCCUCCAAAAGGUUUGAGUUGUGCUGGUCAAGAACGGGAGAGAUCAAAAAAAACAUUUGUCAAAAAUUUGAGCUUAAAAAGAUCCUCCACCGCUCAAUCAGUCUCAAAAACAUCUCACCAAGCUCUUCGCACAUGAGAUAAUUGAAACGUUGCACAAAGAUUAUAAGAAGCCAGAAAUUGCACUUACAGACGGUUAUAAUAGUAGUGAAUGAGCAAAGUAUAUCACAAAAACUGAGAUGUUGUGAUUCUGAGUUCAUUUUUGGCACUAAAACAGAAUCUUCGUGAUUCCCACCACCUACUUUCUAGUCCCUAAAAGUCUCACCCCCUGGUACACUGCACCAGGACGGAGGUCAUCUAUAUUGCUAAAGCAUCUAUAGCCAUCGAUCUCUCUUAAACCUAUCAAGCCACGGCGGGUCAAGAAAUCACGGAAAUCAUCUUCAGUGUACAGUGUCUUGUCUUCUGUAUGAACAGCCAAUCGAUCAGACUCAUUGUACAGGCACACCUUGAAGGAGAUCCCUACAUGAGAGCACAUCCAGCUUCAGCUUAACAAAUUUCAAACAGUCAAAUUUCCAGCUACAAGAAAAAAAACUUUCCCCGGUUCUAGCAUACCUUCAUCAAGGUGAAGAGUAUAAUUUCCCAGAGGCAUGUCUCUGUCAAUAGUCCGAAUAAUGCUGUCCUCAUCCUCUAACCAAAAUGCCCUUUUGGUACGCAAGCUGAAAGCAGACUUGAUCGCUUCCUUGAUGGCAUCAGCAGUUCCGUCUAUACCAAUUCUUCUCCUGUACUCGCCCCACUUGACUGUUAUAACCCUUCCACCAUAGGAAGGGUGUCCAUCACUGCCUGCGGUAAUGACAGUAUUGCAUCUGCUUAAAUUGACCAGUUGCAGACGAGAAAACACCAGUCCGAAGAAACAAUAAGCAUGAUUCUUAUAUGAAGUUCAAGUUACUCAUCAACUCAAGAAAUCCAACCAUCUGGACCUGCAGAUACUGCAACUCAUUUGACAAGCUUAAGAUGCAACCUUCAUGAAAAUCUGAUGCUUGUAUGAUAUCCCUCCAAUAAACGAUGCAAUCUCCAAAUUCAAUUGCAAACACUGUUAAAAAUGCUUUAACAAGACCACUGGAGAUGGAGUGAAGUCACCAUGACGAAUCAAGAAACAAACCAUGUUUUUGGCAAGUAAACAUGUGCUUCUUAUCCACUGAUGACUGGACAUGCAUUCUGUUCAUUAGCAAGAAAAAUCUACUAAAUUUUUAUCAGUGUUCCUGUAGAAGAUGUAAACCAUUCAAGCAACUGCAAAUAAAUUAUUUAGAUGUUCCUCAUGAUUAUCACUUGUAUCUAGUUGUCCUCCUGACAAAAUUCAGAAUGUAACCUGUCCAUGGUCAAUGGCCACUGAUCCCUCUAAAACUCCUGAUGGUUUUUGGUCACAUAGUAAAGGGCCACAAGCCAUGAUGAUUCAUGAUAUACAAAUGACCCAAAUCACUGGUACAAUUUAUGAUUAUUUUCCCAAGAGGUGUCAAAGGUUAAGACUUGAGCAUUGAAAACAAACAAGAUUAGAAGAAAACUAUGAUUAAAAUCCUGUUUCCUAUAAGAUGCAGACAAUAUUCAAAAAACAAAUCUAAAUGAAAUUUGAGAGAGUGCAUUAGAGGGGGAAAAUAUCAACUGAAUCUCAGGAAAGAGCAUUAGCAACAAAGAACUUUACCAUUAUUAGACACAUACCAGCAUCGGGGCUAGUCCUCCAAUUCCAAGGAGGAACUUCAUUGGCUGUAACAGCAUCAGCAGCAGUAAUAGUAAGAGGGUCACCAUCAUUAUCUAAAGGUGUUUCAAGGUUCACACUGGCUCUGCCAUUUUCUGUUCACAAGGUUCAGGGACAUUUGAGAGACUCAUUCCUAAAGAAAUUUCGAAGUUCUACAUCUAUCGAUGGGGAAAAUGACAGCAGCCAUGAAAGGCACAUAAUCCAGUUAUUAAUUAGCAAGUACUGUUAUAAGUUUAUUCCAAAUUACAACUAGGAAAUUAUUGUCAUUCAAAAAUUACUAACUAAACAUGUACAACAUAUUUCUUCCAAUCUAAUGUUGCAAAUUAGAAGGCAAAUGCAAUAAUUCUUUUUAGGUAUUAUAAUAGUUGUGUUAGAGAUCAGAGUUUAAAGGUUUCAUGCAGAUAGACAUCUCACUACAAAAAAAGGCAGAUGCAAGUUGUUGCUUUAACUUCCUGAGUUGUAAUCCAUUCUUCUAAAUUAAAUAAUCUCAACUUCUUGUCAAGCAUAGAUAGGCCAAAUUUCACUGUUUAACAAAGAUAAACGGUUCUCAUAUACUUAUCCUUCUCUAACUCAACAUUUAGAACUUCCACUCGGGACAUAAUUACUCGAAUUCUAAAUUCUUAUUAUUUGCAGAAGUUUUAGGUUAGAACUUAUUGAAGAUCUGAUUUUAUGCAAUGUAGUCAGUGGAAGAAUUUACUCAUCUACUUCUCAAAAAUGACAGCACAUCCCAAGAUGAGACUAUCAAGAGCACAAGAACAAUAACUAUGGCUAAAAACUCUUUAAGAAGACUUCUUCAAACAUGACCAAAAAGUUCCAAAUUCCCCUCACGUCCUUUACCUUCCACUGAUCCAAAUGGAAUACUUCCAUCCUCAAGACCUGAAAGUAGUAAAUAAAAGUCAAAAGGUAUCUUAAGACCUCAUAGCCAUAAUUGUGGGUUCAUUUGCUGCAGGAAUAAAAAAUAAGAUUUCCAUAACAGAAGGCAUGCAAAGAGAAGCUAAAACACAAGCAACAAAACUAACAAGGUAGCAAGUUCCUUCCUAUAUCUUCUGAAUGUCAAUAGCUAAACAUUGACAUAGAAUGACACAGUCGCAGGAUUGCAAAUCGAAGGGCAACUUUUAGUAGCUGUUCUACUUCUAUUCUGUUAUUUGAAUCAAUAAAAAUAGCAAGGCUAAACUACAGGACAAAGAAUCAGAUCAGAUUAUAAUAUAUUCUCUUGUCAAGCAUCACAAAAUCCUAAAAUCAUUCUGUUAGGAAUAAUAGCUAACACAGAAUAUUUCCACUUUUUGAUUCAAGUGAUUCUCAAAAUCCAAGUAUGUUUUCAGGAUGCAGCAAAUAACCAACAAAUGGCUACAUUAAUAUAAAAGAAUGAAGGAUGGAAACAAGGUUUUUCCAACAUCAAGCUCCUACAAAGCUAUGAUAAUAAUCUGUAAAUAUUCAUUAAAAUUCAUACAACACACACCCGUCAUAAAACAAAUACUAGAACAAGUCCACUCACCACACUGAACUCCCCCUUGGCCAGACAAAAACCAGUCAGCGUGCAUAGUUACAUGGCCUAAUCACAAUGUAUCCAAAAGCCAAGAAAAUUGAAAACUAAGGAGAACAACCAAGUAUGGAGUCCUACCUCCUUUAUCUGGGAAAUGAAUAUAAGCUUCAACCUUGGCAGACGGCGGAGGAGGAGGAGGGCUCUUGUAAGAACCAUUCUUAGCCCUGUCUCUGAGCAGCUCCUCCAGUUCCUUGUAAUACCACAUCUUAUUAGCCGAAGAGGCACUCCCGCUAUUAUUGCAGUUAUUAUUUCCUCUAUCCUGCUGCUUCAAUUUCUUGAAUUCCUUGAGCAGAUUCCUCCACUUGUCCGUGCACAUAGUCGGGGAACGGUCGAAACCCUUUUCCCUCAUCUUGCUGGAGAUUUGCUCCCACAAAUGCUUGUUGGAUUUGGAGGUGUUAAACAAUGCAUCCACCUCGCGCCUGAAGGCAAUUAGGCUCCGGGUCUCAUCUUGGACCCAAGUUUCGGCCCGUUUCUUGGGAGCCCUCAAUUCGUGAUCCUCGCCGCCGCUGUCGGCCAAAAUCAUCUGCUGCUGCUGCAGGUCUACGUGGGGAGUAAUGUCCAUCACCAAUUCUUCUGAUGAUAAAUCUUUGUAGGAAUCAAUAGGACGAGGUCUAUGGGCCAAGUACAUUUACGUAGCCGUUAGAAGCAUAGUAUUCAAGCAGGAGAGUGGCGUAGGAGAUUGGAUUUUAACUUUCAGAUGACGACGGUGUUUGGACUCUGAGAGAGAAGGAGGAGGGUCGCGGUAGUGGACGCGGCUGGACCAAGCAUAUAUACUGGCUACUAUACCAGAAACAGUUCACCCGACUGAUUGACGGUGAUAUUUCAGGCGUUUGAUGUAUUUUUCACUUGAGCGUUUCUCUGGAAUCAGGUGACGGGAAACCACGCUCUUAGAUUGCGGUCAUUGAAGGCGUGGGUUUUACUUCACUGUCUUAGCACGUGGCGAAUGGAAGGCGAAGCGUCUCCUGUAAUGGUUGUGAUUCCGGGUGCUGCAGCCUUCAAGUUUGAGAUAUGCAGUUUUCCGUCAACACGGUGACAGGAACAUGAUGGUUUAUUGCAAUGCAAGCGCGAUUAAAUUCACAGCCAAUAAUGCCCAAUUUUCCCAAAAAAAAAAAAAAACUUUCCCCAUUGUCUCAAGUGACCUUUACCCCUUCACAGUUAAAAGGAAGUAUUAUUAUCUUUACAAAAGAUUUCUCAUUUUUCUGUAAAAAAGAUGUAUUCUCUCUGUCCCAAUUAUUUAGUCAUAUUUGGGAAAUUCAAACUUUUAAGAAUAGUGAUUUGAUUGUAAUGUUUAUACUUCUCUUUUUAAUUCUAUCUCUAUAAAUUUAAAACUUAAGUUUGAAUGAUAACAUGCAUAUGAUUAAAAAGAAAGAUUAUAUUGAAAAAAGAUAUUAAAAUUUUUUUUGAUUUUUUUAAUGUAACAAAUAUUUUAAAACAUUUUAAAAUAAAAAGUAUGAAGUUUUCAAUGGACGAAGGAAGUACUGUGCCUUUGACUUUUGUGCACUAUAAUAUAUUGGAAAAAGGGGUAAAAAAAAAGGGGAGGGGAGGAGGGGGGGCAUGCGCCCUCAGGGCAUAUGGCGCAACAGUUGAGGGUCGGCCUUGAGUUGCUGUGCCUUUGACUUUUGUGCACUAUAAUAUAUUGGAAAAAGGGGUAAAAAAAAAGGGGAGGGGAGGAGGGGGGGCAUGCGCCCUCAGGGCAUAUGGCGCAACAGUUGAGGGUCGGCCUUGAGUUGCUGGCUUCCCCACUGAUCCGGAUUCAAUUCAUGUCCGCUGUGCUACACAUCCUGACUCGCUCGGAAAAGCUGUAUGGGGUUAUCGACUUCCCUCCGAUUUGGUGUGCCGGCUCGGAUCCUAAGGGCUCGAAUUGGGGCAUGUUUCGGGUUACAAAAAAAAAAAAAGGCCAUGCGCUACAUUGAAUAGAUAGCGUUAUCUGUUAAGGCCUGGCCGGCUAUCCUCUUAAAUGGUUCAGGCGGCAGGAAUCGAAAUUCCGGAAUGCAUAUAAAUUGUCCAAAACUUCAAAAUAAAUAAAUUAAUUAAAUGAACGAUCCUUCCCUUCUAGUUCUGGAGAACUGUUUCCUGAAACUCAAAAGUCUGCUUCUCUUACUUAAUGUGCAUUGCAACGUACAGUCACCAACCUGGAUAGGAAUUAGCUAGAACUUGAACGGAUAUUACAUCAAGGCUCUCUUCAUUAACCAACUCCAACUCACUUGUACCAAAUAUUUUUGUAUCUAAAAACGACAAAGAAACGAAAGUAAUACUGGAGAUUCUAAAACAGGCAAAACUCAAAUCUUAAGCCAACAAAUAUGACCUUUAAGUGCUAUUUCAUCAUUUCCUGAUCAAUAAUAAUAAUGUACUCACAACAUUAGCAACACGGGUACGGGUGACUCGUGAUCAGGGCAUCUGAUCUUCAGUCACGCCUCCUUCAGCUAAUACAGGUAAAUAUAUCCAGAUUUUACAAUACAAACAAGAAUAGUACCGAAGAGAAGCACCAUAACGACCGGGAAGACUUCGGACAUACAUAUAAUAAUUUUUGCCUACACUUCCAACAAACAUGACCCGUGAUCCCUUCAUCAGCCGCAAACUCCCCUCAUUUUCAUGCAACAACAUCAUUUACCGUCUUCAUAUUUCUCAAUAACAAACCUUGGAACAAGGAUGUCAAGUAACCAGCAUCAUAAUUCGGUCUUCUGUCCACCUGUGUUUCUUCGGAUUAAUAAUCCAUGGCCGCUAAAUGUGUGAAUAGCAUCGAAACAUCCAGCCCACUGUGGUAAAAUAACUACUCAAUUCCAUUAAUUCGCUUCUGAGCAAAUACCUUCAACAUUCCACUCUCUCUCUCUCUCCUCUCUCACUCCCCUUUUUUCUUUUUCUUUUUUUUUUUUUCUUUUUUCUUGUUUUUCCCCUUUUUAAAGGCUCCCCGCAGCAUUAGGAGGCAGAUGCUAAUGAAAGCAAGAUUGUCAAACACAUAAUACAACAAGACCAGGACCUCCCAGGUAGAUGCAGGGCCUGCAGACUUCCUUCCUUUUUCCAAUAAAAAUCAAAAUGUCAUCUCCAGAGGUAGUGCCUUAUUCCAUAGCCUGUCCUGAUACCAGAGUGAAUAAAGAAAUACACUAUCUACACCCAACUAAAGUCUAUGGAUCUGUUCAACAAAACGUGCUUUAUUGGGAAACCAUACAAAUCUCGUACAACAUUCAACUGACAAUCUGAGGAGCUGUAUCUAACAUCAUAAUAGUCCUCUAGCCAUAUAGGAAGAAAUGGUAACUUGCCUGUUGGUGAAGAUAAGUGUGCUUUGGCGAAAUAGUCACUCUCUUCUGCCUAUCCUGGCAAUUCAAAACCUGCUUCAGACAAUCCAAACAAAGGAAGUCGAGACAAAAUGUCUCCUCGUAAUCACAAUUAUUCAAGCACCGCCCACAGUUUAUACAACGAGCAAUGCAAAAUGUGCAGGCCUUGCACACCUGGGCAGUGUGCUGCUUCCCCCUACAGCUGUCAGCUGGACAGUCAUACACUGUCGUGAGUUGUUGGCAUUUUGGACAUAUCUCAAUGUCAAUAGGGCGCUCAUCAUCAAAGGACAGAUACAACUGCUCUGCAUGGAAGAACCGUGGUUUGUUGACGCUGACCCAAUUCUGUUUAUCUGCGCCCAAUAAAAGCUUCAGCUCUUCAAAAUGCUGGCUGGUUACACCAAAAAGUCCACCAAUUCUUAAAUGCUUAAUUCCAGGUCUGCCUACAGACUUGAAGAACCUUAAGUUGCUCAAAGUCCCUUCAACGCUGAGUCUUAGACACCCCGCAAUGCUUAGCUACAAGAAAAGAAUAAAGUAAUGAGAAAAGCAAACCACAUAGAUCAUACAGGAAUAUCGUGAUACAUUUCCAGUUAAAAGCAAUAUGAGCAACAAGAAAAAUAUUUGCCAUUAAUGUUUCCACUAAGCAAUGAGAAGUGAGCAUUCACCCACCAACAGCUAUUACCUAGAGGCACACUGUCAAAUAUGUACCUAAGUAUAACUGCUAGAGAGAAAAGAAGUAACAGUUUGAUUAGCAAAAAACUUAAAAUGGCCAUUGUUAUAUUACACUAUUACAGGUUAAAAGUUAGAAAAUGCAGGAGAAGAAGAUAAGUCAUCAACAAAAGUGCCCACAAAUAGUACAAACUAUAACUUCCUUGCAACCUUAAUGGAGGAAAAAAUUCAUUUGAGGAUACAAACUCAAUGUAUUUCCAUGUAAUUUUUGCAAACAUAAAUCACCAACUUUACUGGCCCACUUCAUUAAUGUGUAAUAUUCGUAGGCUGCAGGAUCUUCAAUAGAAAACACUUGGCAACAACAGACAUGCCUCUAAAUGCUUAAGAAGUUUAAACUAAUUUGAAGUAUAAUGAAGUUGGUUACAAAUGCAAAAUAGACAGCCUUGUCGAGAAAAUAAUGAUGCACCACAAUCUCGAAAAUAUUAGAUGGGAGUGUAAUGAAUGAGAAAAACUACUAAAUGAAGAAUAAUUCCCCGGAGGAAAUACCAACCUUCGUCAAUCCAGGAUUCAUUUCAAGCACCUUCUUCAAACCACCAUCGGUGAUCUUUAAGCACUCCACGAUACUUAAGCUGUGCAGACGGCCUUGAGCCCUACUCGUUAACCGUAAAAGGGCAUCAUCAGUGAUCUUAUCACACAACGGAUAAGUGACAUGAAGAUUUAGCCAGAGGAGAGGAUCAUUCCGGACGGCGUCACGCAAGGAUUUGCAUACUUUUUCAACCGAAAGAAGGUCCCUCGCACCCAGGUAGCCAAGAGAAAAAAACAAAGCAUCUGGGGGAGGCCACGAACACCAGUGGAAACAUUCUUCGCUGGGGAUGCUGAUUUAUGUUUAUUAGCUGCAUCCCAGGGAGUGCAACACUUCUCAAAACUGAAACCCAUGAAAUCCUCUUUGUUAGGAUCAUUGCAUAACCCCAAUUCCAUUGAAGACACGGAUGAUUCUUUAUAGGCUUUUAUAUCGCCCAAAUCGGGAUGAAGCCUUGUGGCACUGUUCCAGACAAUGUUUAGCUCGGCAAGGAAUUGAUCAUCCACCUUUUCAACCUCAUCAUCUUCACUAGAUGACUCAAAUCCAAGAUUCUCCAACCCAAAAUCCUCAAUCCAUCCCGUAAUAGCUGUGAACGUGGCGCUAAUGUCCAUACCAAAGGGAUCCCUAGGUAAUAGAUCAACAAUAUCAUCAUCGGAAGAUAGCUUGUCAGAUUUUCCCUCGCGAUUGUUAUAGUCAUAGGAAUCGAAACCUUUGGAAUUUUCACCUGGGCACCUCUCCACAAGAGACCCAUUAGUAUGAAAGUUUAUCCAGAAUUCUUCAAUGCCAUUGAUUGGAGGAAAUCCCAAAAGGAGAAAAACGGUUUGGAUUCAAAAGAAAACCCCCAACUAUUGAUAGCUAAACUAAAACAAAAGCACCAAAAAUGUUGAAGGUUUUCCUCUAAAGAUGCCCAAAAAAAAAAAAAACAGAGAGAGGGGGAGAGAGGGAAAAACCGCGCAGGUUGCCCUAACCUAACCUGUGUACGCAGAAGGAAAAAAAAAACAUAAAACGUACAAAAGAAACCUGGGAAGGAGAAUGAGGGUUGUAUAUAUCUAAAAAAAACAAACGAGAAGCUGAAGCCUCAAAAGCAAAAUGGGAAUGGAGUUGAAUGGGGGAUGAAGACUGAAUUGAAGCUUUGUACAGGAAGGGAAGGGGAAGCAGAGAGAUAAAGACCGGAAGUAAAUCGGGAAGGAAGAAAAAUGUAGAGGCAGCUGAUAGGGGAAGUGAAAUGGAUUUCCGAACAAGAAUGGGACAGGAGAUUAGGAUAAAAAGGAUCUACACACAACAGGAAUCAACUUUUCUUUCUUUUUUUUUUGACCCAAUUACAACAUUCAUUAAUUAAAUGUACAAAAUACAUGCACAAACAGUAUCAGAAUCUGCAGUAUCACAGCACACAAAUACCCAAAGAGAAACUUAUAAACUGGUUUUAAAAAUUGAGUUCCACCACUAUUAAGACUAUGAUCACUAUAAUUAUUCUACUAAUUGAUAUAUUUAUUAUGUACUUUGUGCAUAUCUGUGGGAAGAUACAUACUACUACAUACGAGAAGAGGAGGGGGGAGAGAGAGCAGAAAGAGAGGGAGGGAGAAAUAUCGGAUAGGGAGGAAAAGGAAAAUCGCUAGUUUUGUUGGAGGAGAGAGAAACGGAGUAAAUAGGAGGAGAAGAAAAAGGGGGGGAGGGAGGGGAGGCAAACGCGUGGUGGGAGACGAAAGAAUGAAGCGUGGGACUCUUGUGGUGUGUGUGUGUUGUUGAGUAAUUCGGUGUACCGAGGUUUUGGGGGUUAUUUUGGAAAUUGGGUGAGGGCGUUGUUUCUUUGUUUGGGCUACUACUAAGAAGAGGUGUAGCGUGGGCGGUAGACCAUUCCUUCCUUCCGGUGUCCACCUAGUCCGUCCGCUAAUAAUUAAAUCCAUAUACUUUGCCAAACCUAUCCAUCUCCGAUCGAUUAGUACCCUCUGCCACUGGCGGUGGUAGUAAUACGGCUCCAUUACGCGCCCUACAGUUGACAUAUUUUUUUUUUGUCCUGUAUCGAAUCGGAUGGGCGUUGGACAAUGGACGCAUUUUUUGGGCUCAUGGCCCGCUAACUCCCCGAUGCCGUGGGAGUACGACUCUCAGAUAGCGUGCAAAAGAAUAGUCUACUUACAAUGUAUGCAUUUUAUCUUUAGAUGAAUUGUAUAAAACCUAAAAUUUUGCAUGUGUGUUAUGUAUUCAUUCACUCGUGAGAAUAUAUAUAUUAUUGAUAUAUGUAAGAUUAACUAUAAAAAUAUUCAAGAAUAAUACUUUUUCUAUGUGAAAACUUAAUUAAAAAAAUAACGUCACAUAUAAUAAUUGUAAGCCAAAUUAAAUCUUAAGCCUUCUUUCUUUUCCCUUUCGUCUUCUUCUUCUUCCCUUUUCUUUUUUAUUAAAGAUUACUUAAAGGCUAUUUGGGGUUGCGAUAGUUUAUUGAAAAAUACUUCACCUAAUAGAGAUUUUAAUAAAAGCAUUUUAAAGUAAUACAUUGUUUGGAUAUAUGGUUCAACAAAUAUUUAUUAUAUUAGUUAAUGUAUGAUUUUAAAAUUUUUAAAUGUAUUUAUGUUUCUAUUUAAUUCAUAAUAUAGGAUAAGAUGAUUAAAUUUAAUAUUUAAUUUUUUAAAACACAAAAGUUAUUUUAAAAGUAUCAAAUUUUAGCUUUUGUUAAAAGUGUUUUUAACACCAAAAUCUCAUUUCAUAAUUUUAUGAGAUUAUGUUUAUCAAACAUGUUAGAAGAUUGGCUCAAUUCUUUUAGCCAAAAUCCUUAUUUUGUGUGAAAAUAACUAAUUUUCUAAUUGGUUUUAGUUACCUGGAGAAGUUGCCAAAUUAUUUCCUAUUUUGUUUAAAAUUUAGAAGUUAGUUCCAAUGAGUCUAGAGAGUAGCAUUGAUUUCCUAAUGUUAUUUGAUUUUUUGACUAAAUAAUUUUGUUUAUAAAUAAAUAGAUUAGCAUUCUAUAAAAACACACAAGAAUAGGAGUGAGAGAGUUUUUAGUAGGUGAUAAACUUAUACAAUAAUUGGGUUUGGGAAUCAAGUUAUAAUCUUGUAGUAUUUUUCCUCACAUGGUAAGAACAAGUUUUUUUUUUCCGUAGACGUAGGUUAGUGAUUAAGUCGAAUCACGUUAAUUCUUGCGUGUUGCUCAUCAUUCGUACUAGUUAUUAUUUUCUAUUACUUUUUUUUUUCUAUCCCAAAUAGUUGGUUUGAUUCCUUAUCAAGUGUUAUCACAGUUUUUGAUUGCGAAAUUAGGUUACUCGUGGGUAAUGGAUUCUUCUCGAAUUUAGACCAGUGAAUUUUUUUUUUUUUGGUGGAUUAAAAUGCUAAAGAAUUUGACUGAUAUUAGAUUAGAUGCACCAUGGAUUUGGCAGGGGUUUAGUUGGUGUUAAAACAAGGAGUCAAGGGUAGGUAAGGAUCAAGAAUCCGAAUUGAAUGUUAAAAAAGAGUGCGUCCAUGAUUGAGAGAAAAUAUGACGUUAAGUGUUAAGGUGGGUUUGCAUUGAAUAUUAAAGUAAAUAUAAAAUGAGAGAUUUGUUAGAUUCAUUAAUAAAUAAUUAUGUUUCAUAUUUAUUCGAGAGAUAGAGAAAAAACGAUUAAUAUGUAAAUAAGGGUGCGAGACCUAAUAGUUUAACCUUUUAGAUUAGAGUUGGGUUACUUAUUUAUAUAUUAGACUUUUUGAUGGAUUAUUUCGAGAUGUUUUUUCCUUAACAAAAAUACGUCUCAAAAGGGGUUUUAAUAUUCAAAAGUUCUUUUUUAUUAAAAAUAGUUAAUUGAAGACAAGAAAAAAUCAAAAUACCGAACAAGCAUGCAGUGGUUGGCAUGCUACCGGACGAAAAAAGUAAAAAUGUAGGAAUAAAAUUAAACAAAAAUAGGUCUGCCAUGACAAGUGACCGUGAGAAUGAUCAGAAGUAAAACCGCCCAAACUUUUUAUUUACCAAAGAAGAGAACAACGGACUCUUGCCCUACCACCCAAUUUGGCCGCCGCUUCCUUUACACGGCUGAAACCACCGUUGGCUAAACUAAUAUGAGGAGGAUGUGACGGAUCAUGGAUCGUGGUUUUGAAUUUCCAUUAUAUGGUGCGAGAUUCUUUAAAUUUUCUGUCCCUCUUUUUCCUUUUUUUCUUUUUUUUUCUUUUCUGGGGGUGGGGAGGGAUUUCUUGAGAUUUUCAUAAUUAUUAUCUUUCCCCUGCUGGGAGUGCUUAGCCGUGACUUGAAUGAAUGUGAUGAAAUUUUGGUAAAUGUAUACGACGCAAUGAUAAUGCCCCAUUAUAUCUUCUUGAAUAGUACAAAAGUCGGCCGCUGGAAUUUAUUAAAUCCAUACUUACUUAUUAUUAAGAGAUAAUCAAUCAAUUAACUACCCCUGGAACUGGAAGUAGCUAAAACCGAGGCUCGGACGUGGAAGCUUUAAAUUGCCCAACCCACCAUUCUAUGCAAUAUCAUCUAAGGUAUCGAUCUACUCUAAUUAAAACAAAAAAAAAAAUAAAUUAAAAAACAGCUCGAUUUAUUUGCACAAAGAAAAGAAAAAAGGCCAGGACAGUGAGAGAAUAAAUUAACGACAAGCCCACGUGAACUUCAAACCAGGAAAUGAGGUCCUCCAAAGUUCCCAAAUAAAUACUUAGAGUAAAUCUUAUAUACACUGACAGUGUAUACACUAUCAUCGUUAGAUUCAUGACACGUGUGUAAAAGUUGAAUUUGAAAUUCAAAUUUUGCAUAGUUGUUAUUAAUCCAACACUGACUGUACAUUGUUGUCAGUGUAAAAAAGAUUAAUCCAAAUACUUAUUAGACAGUGAAUUAUACAGCAGGGUAUUCUUAUAAUUUUGACCUCAGAUCUGAGUAGGAUUAUUUUCAGGCAAAGGAUAAAUUGGCAAUUAGUGCUAUACAAUUAAAAAUAACUGCGUCAACAAUGCUUUUAAUUGCAUAGAAUAGAAUCAGUUGAAAACAAUCCCUCACCUGCAACAUCAAUGUAACUAGAUUUGAAAGAGAUUUUCUAUAUAUGAGGUUUAGUUUUAACUAUUGAUAUCCAAAAGUUUCGUUUAUCGUAGAGAUUUGUUUUAAGAAUAAGAAAUACUGUAUAUUUUUUUGGAGUGACGUGAUGCAUCAGACAUGGUGAUUUGAACGCUCGACUUAAUGAACAUUGGAACAAGAAGAUCCGAUGGUUUAUGAACUCUCUUCUCUUUACGAGUGAUUCUAGGAGCAUCCAUGUCAUUGUCAGAGAAAAAGCUUACGGAGCAGGUAAACGAUAAACCUGGCGUCCAAGUUGUCCCUCGCCUCCCGACGACAAGCCUUCUUCCAAGAAAAGAAUGGAUUGGUGAUUAUUUUACGCUACUUUUACUUUUGCCAGAGAAAACUUGGGACGAGAUGUUUUUUCUUCCCAUCAUUCUUGGUAAGCAAGAAACUCGGACUUGCUUCGAGCCCAAAAAAAAAAAAAAAAGGCAAAGAAAGAGACUUGGACUUGAAUAUUGGUUGAGACUUCUCUAUUCUUUCGCGAAUAGAAUAUGCUGAAAUACACAUGACUUAUACGGGACAAACACGAAACAAUAAAUUUAAAUACUACUAAUAUUAAAGAGUUUCGAUGUUUGCCAUCGUGUAUUUAGAAUUAGCAUUUCGUAGAUAUACUCUUCUUUUUAGUGAUUCCAUGAUACAUAGUUGUGGUUGCCAACUCAAAAGCAUGGAUUAGCGCUGAAAUCUUAUUCUUAGCUUAGCCGUGUCGUUGAAGUUCACCUACACCUUAAAUCUAACUGCCACAGGAAAAGGCAGAUGUCUGCGUCAGUUAAUUCUACAGGAAAAGGCCUUUCUUUCUUCGAAUACUUGUUUUGUAUUACGAGUGCCUUUUGCUGUUUAGUAGUUCUUGAUCGUUCUCACUCCGCGUCGCCUCAAUCUUUUUCUAUGAAUGCUGAUAGUAAUAAAAUGAAAGCCCCCCCCCCCCCCUGUAACUAUGCUGAUUUUCUUUUUUUUUGGGUCAACACCGGAGUAUUCUGGAAUCACCCAGACUAAUCUCCUGCGGCUGAGCAGAGCCCGCCCCUUAGCAGUGUAACUAUGCUGAUAGCAACUGAAAAUUUUACACGUUUAUAUAAACAGUAGUGUCAUAUCCAAUUAAAUCUAUCAGCCACGUACCGAAAUAGCCAUUCCAUUAUUAACCUGCAAUGUGAUAUUAUUGGUAGUCAGUCUACUUCCCAUAAUCAAUCAUUGGAUAAUCUGUCUAGAAUUCUCGUACCAAACUGUGGGAUAUCUGCCAAUAAUCAAUCAUUCUAGUACAUGAUGUCUUCUUCGGCUCUAUCCCGUGUAAUAUUUGUGCAAGACCGCAGGCUGCACCUGAAUUUGGGUUAGUAAACCUCUGCUCAGUCUCUUCAAUUAAUUUAAAUUGCCUUGGAAUGAAAGUGCUCAUAUUUCGAGUGGCUGUUCUGUGUUUGAUGCGCAAGAAGCAAUUAUUAUUUCGGUAUUAUUGCGUUCAAAAAAACCUUAUUACAACAUUGCAGUAGCGAUAUACCACAUGUUACAAAUCAUGCCUCAAAAUAGUGAAAAAAAAAAAAAAAGCAUCUGAACGGCGAGUGCAUCCGCAUUUUAUCAGCACGCUGCUAUGGGGGCACACCAGGGAUGGCAGCAUACCAGAGUAGGUAAUAUUGUACAUGGAACCAUUACAACACCGCAUCUACUCGGCAAGUAGGAUGCUAUUAGCACGGAACGGAAUCCCAGCAACUCUAGAGCGUGGGAGGGAUCCAUAUAUAGCCAUGUGUUUGCACAUAACCGGCUCGCUGUAACAAUUCAUCAGCUUCUGUUGGACCUCUGCUGCCGGGCUUAUACAAGGCAGUCUUCAUCUCUCCCCUAUCUAUUCUGUGCAGAAGAGGGGUGAAUAUUUCCCAAGCUUCCUGAAAUUGUGAUCUGUGUCAGUGAUGAAACAUCAUCUUCCGAGAUCUAAUCAGAAUUUCAAUCAUUACAGUACCUUCAACUCGUCUCUGCGGACAAAAUGCUGCUGGUCGCCUCUUAUCCUGUAGAAUCAAGAAUUGCAGUCACAUGUCUAUGAAGGCAUGCUUAAGAACCAAUGUAAUGCAAGAAUUCUUUUUUCGCGUCAUUAAACUGCUGAUCAGAAUGAUACGCACAUAAAAGGCAUGGGGUUGAACUUUAAAAUUAUAGGAGAAAACAAUCUUUACGUGUCAAGAAUUAGACGUUCAUAAGCCUCUGGAAUGGUAACCCCAGAAUAUCGCUGCCUAUAUGACAAGUCCAAUUCGCUUUGAACAGUUGACAUUUCCAGCCCAGGUUGCUUGACCUUCAUAAGAGCACUCAAAAGGUCAGAGCCAAGUUGACUGUGGAAGGAGUCUCAAUAUUAUGUAUUAAUCCCAGGUUACAAAGAGAAGAAUGUACAAUCGAAGAUGAGAACGUACAACCAAAUGACAAAGGAGAAAUAAUAUCAAAACUAUUUGUCGAUAUAUUUGCAAAACCUGCAAUCUUAACAAUUUUUAUACCUUUGAUGAGAUUAUUACAUAAAUUGAAUGUGUGAGAAAUAGUAACUGAGAGAAAACUACAAUAUGAUUGGAAACCAGUCUUACCGUUAGCUUCAUAUAAAUAGCCUCUGAAGGUUGCAGACGUAUUACAAAUUCAUUUCUCCCUUGCUUUUGACCUGGAUGAACAAAAUAUUCUUUUCAUGGUAUGGCUCAAUGAAAAUAACCUACAACAUAUGCGCUUCUUGUUAAUGAAGAAAAACUGAAUAAUGAAGAAAAUUUUUUUGAUCUUUUUGGUAAUGCAGAAAGUGACGAGAAAACGAUAUAGAGUGCUUAACUAAUACUAAUAGUUCAAAUUAUUCUUUUCACCUUUUUCAUUCUUUGCUUAGUUAAUAGUUCUAAUUACAAACACAAUUAAAGCAUCAAGUAGUUGCAGCAGGACUCAACUGCAAAACUGUGCUCUUCUACCUACUAAUCAGGACCAUUAAAGCAUUUCAGUUUAAGUUGGAAUGAUAGAGGCCUUUCUCUUUCUCUAGUUCUUGGGUUUUGUUAGGUGGCAUGUUUUCUCAAUCUUGAAACCUUACAGGCAAAUAUUUCCAAUCAGAGAACUGAUUAGAAGUCAGAAACUCUAUCACCAUCCUCAUAGACUAGCUCCGAGAUCUAUCCUCAUUGUAUGAUCUACUUUAAGAUGUAGCUUCUACAAAAGCAGAGCUCCUAACCUACAGUCAUAUGCCUAUUUCAUUUUAACUUCUUGAGAGCUGAAAUACAUACAUCUGAAAAUAUCACCGGGUACAUCCUUAAAUUGCACACGGACUUCUGCCUUUCUUGAAUUUAGAGCUUUUCCAGCCUUCAGUAUAAAUGGCACACCUGCAGCAAGUGAUUAUGGCAAUGUCAGGACAGAAACGCGUUCCAAUCACAAAAUUCUUGCCAAGCAAAAAGAACGUCAACCCUCUUCUAAUUUUUCGUUUAACAUCCACAAAGCGUUUGCUGCUGUAUGAAUAAAAAUUCUGUCAUUGAACAAUGACAGAGAUCGACCACGCAAUACUACACCAUUUACUGCAGACAUGCCCCACCUUCCCAUCGCUCAUUGUGGAUCCGUAAAAUCACAGUUGCAAAAGUAGGAGUAUUGGAGUUGUCUGGAACUGUGGGAUCAGCAGUAUAGCCCUCAUAUUGUCCAAGAACGACCUCCUCUUCUUUAAUUGGUUGCACUGAUUGGAGAACCUAAAAUAACAAUUGGACCUUUAGAGGCUUCUACUGCAGUUAUACACAUUACUGCCUAAGUGCAUAAAGAAAAGUUUGAUGUGCUUAAACAGGUAAAUUCUGUAUAUUUUUUCCAACAUUCUGAAGCACAAAGCCAAUUGCAUGAGACUCCGACCAAUUCAAACAAACAAGAGCUGCAUGUAAGCAAACUUAUGCCUGUGCAUACAUUUACUUAACACCAAGGUUGACCUUUUCACCAUUGCAGUUUUGUAUGUUUUAUUUUGGUUUAUUCUCUCUUUCCCUUCUUCAAUCUUGUGGUAUAUUCAGGUAGUCAUCACAAGAUUUCACAGAACUACCUACUUUUGUUUUUGCUGCAGAUCUUUAUUUCCAUUUCCUUUUAUUCUCUCUCUCUCUCUCUCUCGCAGAUACAAACCAACUUGCUGGAAUACUAACCUUAACCUUCUCAUCUCGGAUGUGUUCAGGCCUAAUUGAAAUUGGCUUCUCCAUGGCAAUGAGGCAGAAAACCUGCAUAGGAGAUCACUUAUCAGAUAAAAAAGGCUAGGCUUCAGAAGUAAAGACUAUCAGGUUUCAGAUAACUAAUUUAUGGCACCACUCCAAGAAUAAUAAAAAAAAUAAGGGAUUGUACAUAGAGAAUAAUUAUUAUGAUCGAUGAAGUGGAGGAGAGCUUGCAUCGUUAGAUGGAUACUGUCAUCAUGUCAGUCCUGUAUGGACCUUCAUACUAGAUGCAAGUCUCUGAGCAGAUUAUCUAUGAUCGCGUUAUUUAUCGAAUUAUUGCCUUUUUAUGAGAAUUUUUAAAAAAAAAAUCAUCCCUUUUAACAGAGUUCCAAAAUAAGAACUGAAAUCAAUUGGACAAAGGGCCACAAGGCACACGAGAAGGAAGGAAGAGGGAGAAGUUUACAGUUUGUUGAAGAACGAAGCGAGGGAGGGAAAAAAUUUUAAUUUGUUGAAGAAAGAGGCGCCAGUGAAGAGGAGAAGAAAUAACUUGUUCGGUGAAGGAAGGGACAAUGUUUGGGUAAAAAACCCAUCUAUGAUUACAAAGUCUUUACCAUACAUUACUUAGACAAAAAGGAGAUAUGAGCUAUUGGUAUGUAAUAGCUGUAGCUAAACUAUUUUUUCAGGAGUUACAAUUACUAAACUAUUGGUAUGACAUAUUCCAAAACUAGUCUCACCUGCAAGAGGUGAUUCUGAAUAAUGUCACGGAUAAUUCUGCAAAACAAAAUCAAAGAGAUAGGCAUUAGUAAUUCUAAGCAUUCUAACAAACAAAGAAAACAACAGUUUCUGAUCUGUAUAUUAACUUCUAUAACAUGAACUCAUCUAAAAUUAGUAAUUCUAAUCGUUCUGGAAGAGAAACCUGGUUUAGCCAAAGUUUUCAAAUGAGGAAAUAUAAUUAACUGUGGGAGUUUAAUUUCCAAGUGUCAAUAGUGGAACAGUGGGUUUCCACGUGGCAUACCCAUAUUCAUCGAAGUAUCCACCUCGACCUUCAGUUCCAAAAUCCUCUCUGAACACAAUCUUCAAAAGAAUAGAAAGAAAAGGAUUUAUGUACUCUCACUGUCAAAGUACUUGAAGCAAAAGAGAGAAAUAUGUAGCAGCAAUCUCAAGAAUAAAGCCAAAAAAUUAAACUAUUCGAAUACCAAAGCCAAUUUCUGAUUUUGGAAACCAAGAGAGUGAUUGAUUACUGUUGAUGGGCACACAAACACAGAUAGAGACAUGUAUGUAUACAUGUGUGUGUGUGUGUGAGAGAGAGAGAGAGAGAGGGAAAGCAAGAGAUUGCAAGAGAGGAAUCUCACCUGCACGUUAUCAAUGUUGUCACGAUUCCAGAGUGGCAAAAAGAAGCGAUUAGCAAAACGGAGUACCAACUACAUUAUUUGCCACGAUAAAUCAGGAUUAGCAUAUGGCCAUUGCUCAACUGGGAUAAGAAAAUAUAGACAGUGUUGGAAUGUGCAUUACCAAGUUCUGUACCAAUUCCUUUCCCAAAUAAUGAUCAAUACGAUAAAUUUGGGGCUCAUCAAAUAAUUCACCAAUCUGGGAACUGAGUUGCUCAGCUGAAGCCAAAUCCUUGCCAAAGGGCUUCUCAACAACAAUGCGAGUCCAGCCACCAAGAUCAGCUAGAAUGAGUAACACCAAGAAGUGAACAAAAGAUGAACAACUCUUAGGGUUGCAAUUAAAAUGACAGGCCAAGCACCAAUAAGUGGUCUCUAGAGUUUUUAUCAGGUAAAAUUCAGCUGGGAAACAAAAGACAAGAAGAAGAAGCACCAAUGCAUUUUCACAUUGGAUGGGACAAUGCAUGGAGCUUUAUCAACCUACCAUAUAACUUGCUUUGUACAAGGGUUGAAAAUUUGCUUUAAACAGGAAACUACAGGAGCAACAUAGGGAGAGUUUUUGGGCUUCUUUUCCAUCCACACUCACAGUUAUCUCCAAGCAAAUCAAGUUUAACUAAUUAUUCUAACAGGACGGUACACCUGAACCAAAUGGGGCAUAAAUUCCAGAGCAAGACCCUACAAGAUGAAUGCAUGGUAGAGAAGAAAGACGCUGAAGUACAUACAUUUAUUUGUACAAUAAAGCUUGAUCAUUUUGCAGACAGGAGGAUACACAGAUGGAGGAAGAGCAAGGUAAAAGAGUCUUCGAGCAGAUCCUUCUGUACUUUUUGUUGACACUUCAUGCUCAAAUAUUGUCUUAUCCAAUGCUCGGAAACCCUCCUCAGCAUCAUAGGCUCCACUUACAUAUUUGAUCUACAAAAACAAUUAUUAGCAGGCAUCUACAGUAAAAUGAAAAAUUUAAAUUUCAUUUAUAGCAUAUAUACUAACCAAUUGCAAAAAUUUUGAUAAUUCUUCACCAUUAUCUUUGCCAUGGGACAGGUACCUGCAGCGUGUUUACUCUAUUGGUUCAAAGCUAACAAGAUCAGGUGCUAUAAUGCAUUGAGAAAGGCUGAAUAAGCAAAAAGCUCAAAUGUAGCUUGGCAUCACCUCUCUAAACAAUGAUGAGAAUUAAAUAAGAGCAAAGCUCAAAAGUAACGAAUGUUAAAUUAUUUGGCAAAGCGAUAACUUGUACAACGCGCAAGACAAACUGUAGAAGCAAGAGGAGUUGACAAUUGCAUAAUGCGAGAACAGAUGUACUUGAUCCUAAGUCUUCUUAAAUUCAGGAAGUAACAUAGGAAAUUUCGAGAACAAAAUCUUACCCACGGAUACGAUCUCUCAAGUCAUCAUCUGAAAGCUUGGUCCUUGCAUAUCCAAAAAUGUGAACUUCAUCUGGAGGCAAGAAUCCCUGUGAACAGUCCGACCAAAAUCUUGACUUAGCAUAACACAACUCUCUUUCACCCAUAGCAUAUAAAAAUCAAUAUCUGAAAUAUGUAGUGAUAUCAUCUAUUGCCAAAAUGAUGCCUCAACUCAAACUAUAUUACGAGCAAACUAAAACAUGAGGUUCUUGCUACUGGAAGAUCUAAGAAGAGACCAAUAUAUGUAGCCCUUUGCUUCCAUGAAAAAGGGGGCAUAUCUAUCUAUUUUAUAUUUAUCUAUUCAGAUAGAAAAGGAAAGGAAGCAACUUUAGGAAUGCACUUGAAAUCUUGGCACAUAUCAUUACCAGACCAUAUUGACGAGCAAAUGUAGUAAGCUAUCCAUCAAAAAAAAAAAAGGGGAAAAAAAAGCGCCAAACCUGACGAUAAAGGUUGAAAAGUGCAGGGAAAGUCUUCUUCUUGGCAAGAUCACCAGAAGCACCAAGAACAAUAAUGGAGAGGCAGCCAGUAUCAGGCACAUUAUCAUCGUCUCCUACGGGGGACUCGGUCUUAAAAGAAGCUCUUUUUCAAUGCUCCAAGCAGCUGAUGCCAUUUUCAGAUCUCCAGAAGCAGGUGGGGAACCAAAAUAGCUCACCUCUUAACAAUUUCAAGUAUGCUCAGUUCCACUUAUCUACAGCAAUACAAAACCAAUUUGUGACCAAGCCGAAGCUGUUUUGAACAACAAAGAUAUGGAAAAUUCAAUCGAAGCAGUUAACAGCUCCUGCUAUGCUAUGCUAUGCUAGGUGUAAGGCCACUUGUGUCUACAUAAAGGCAUGAAUCCCUUCAAAAUUUUCCUCUUUUAUUUAACGAGAACACCAGCAACAGAAUUGCUCACUCUCCAACUCCCCAGUCCAAUCCACCAAACAAGAGAACUACAUACAGAUACAUUUCCCCCCCCCCCGAUCCCGCACCCACAGAAAACAAUACAAGAAAAGGAAAAGACAAUGACGAAAUCAGAAUUUGAGAACCUGCAUCGUGCGCAGGCUGAUUAAUAUUACAGCCUACGUUCUUUUUCUUUUUGUAAUUAUUAUUAGUUCUAAUCAGCAGAAUUAAGCCAUACCUGAUCCAACUGGAAAACACUCAGUACAAACUCACUUCGGAUCGCAUCAAAAGAUAAAAAAUGAAGAUAGAGAAAAUGAGGAUAAGGGAGCUGUAGAGAUUAAGACGGGCAGCCAAAAAGUAGACGCUGAAAGCGAGAUGAAGUUGUUGGGCAUGUGCAGGAGGGGAUCAUCAAAACAUGGAAAUGAGAAAAUUUCAAUAUAUAUUUUUUAAAUUCUAUUCUGCAACUAAUGCUUACCAGUAACGGGGAAAGUAGUUAUAGCAGAAAAAGAAAAAAUGGGGCCUGGAUUGCCGUACAAAAUUAGUCGAGGAUGGUAGUUGGCAGGUAAAGACCUUUUUUUUUCUUUUUCCUUUCGCUCCCCUUCUGUUUUCGGGUUUGAUACAACCGAACAAGAGCAGAAAUUGUGCGGAUUGAAUCCGAGAAUUGCAAGUCCGGGAGGGGGGCCCGGGGGGAGGGGGGUGGUGAUGGAUAUUGGACUAGCAAGUAGUAACAGCAGUCAUGGCCUUUUGGAUUGGGGUAACCGGAAGACUUUUGAAGGUGCUUUGUAGUUGAAUAAGAGCUAGUGUCAGCGGUGUCUGCUGAGGCGAAAUUCUGUGAUCAGCGCUGAUGUUAAUGGAUGCUUUCUACGGUGCCUCCCUUUGACUUUAAUUUGCUCUUCUCCUCUCAGUAAUAAGUACUAUAAAUAAAUACUUAAAUUGUUUGGAUUGCGGUUUAUUUGUCAAAAUAUAUUUGCUUACAUCAUCAUUACAAUUUCCAACGCACCUUUUUAUCUUUCUAAUUACCUUUUUAUCUCACAUACAUCACAUCACAAAAAGUGCUACAGUAAAAAUAUUUCUAAUAAUUCAAAAUCCAAACAAACCCACUAUUAACUUAGCCGCCGUCGACGUCGACGACGACGCAAAUAAUAUACCAGUGCUAAUGAGGAUGCUGGCUGCCUACGUGUCUAUACUUGGGAGUUUCUACAUCUCGGAUUAAUGUUUAUUCCCUUUAUAUCCUCGUGCGGAGUGCUCUUGUUUGAAUGGAGGGUAAGUUGCGUGAGAAAGAAAAGUAGAAGAACGUGAGAUACUAGAAAAUAAAAAUUAUUUCCUCGUGCAAAAAAUUUUUUUGAAAUAAAAUGAGAAGUCAAUGGUAAUUAUUGGAAGCUACUAAAGUGUAAUUAUUGGUAACUAUUUUCUUUUAAAAUUGUACUAUAAAUUUUACCGGACAUAAAAUGCAAGAAAUUUUUUGAACUUUCUCGCUAAACAAACACACAUAUAAAGGAAAAUAAAACCAAUAAAUUUUCCUCAUCCCCUGACACAUUUCCUUGCAAUUUGGAAGUCAAUUUUUUUAAAAAAUAAUAUUUUACAUGCAUUAUAAACACAUUCUUCAACUCACAUUUUUAUAUUUUCAAUCACCUUUUUAUCUCACAUACAUCAGAUUAUAAAAAGCGUUACACUAAUUAUUUUAAAUAAUACACUGUCCAAAUAAUACACAUUUACUUGGGGAUUGAUAAUGAUGAAAACGUCAAAAUCCAAACUUCUUUCCAUACAUUAUAGGAGUACUAUUUAUUGUGUUGCCGAUCGAUGACCAAUAACAUACAACAUGCUAAUCAAAGGAUUAGUGAAGGUACACCUUGCACAUCACCUAACACACACCACAAAUUCUGCACCUAACACUUCCCCACUUAGCACUUCAUAUAAAUCAUACUCCCUCCGUCCCACUUUGAUAGUCCCAUUUCUUUUUUCACACAGUUUAAGAAAAAGUAGUUAACUUUGUUGGAAAAGUAAAUUUAGAUUAUUUUUUCUUAAAAUACCCUCACAUUAAAUAUGGUAUAACUUUAUGGAAACUUGAAUUGAUGGUAAAAAAUGAAUCAACUCUCAUUAAAUGGGAUAGGUUUAUAGUAAUAACUACUUACAUUGAAUAAGGGUAUUUUAGGAAAAUUAAAAUACAACUACAUUCUUCAAUUGGAAAGUUGACUACAAUUCGAGACAGAUGAAAAAAGAAUACGAGACUAUCAAAGUGAGACGGAGGGAGUACUGAAAGUUGGACUAGUAACUAACAAAUGUAGUAUACUUACCAUCUCAAACAAGCGGAAAGAUUUAAUCAUUGAUGAGUACAAUAGAUUUCUAUAAGCAAAUGAAAAGUUUUUUGGGGGGUUAAUUUUUUGCAAACAAUUAUGCUACUACUACUACUUAUUAUUAUUAUAAAUUGCACGCAUAAUUAGUUGGUUAACUCGUACUUCUUUCCUUUGCGAACUUGAUCCGAUAAUUCUCAUACCCAUGUCGUUUCCCCGUUUGCCGCUUGUGUGCUCUGCUCAAAUUUACGACACCAAAGCAUCUAUUGCCUAACAUUAUUGGGAAAUUUGCCAAAUUAGUCCAUAAUAUUUACAAAAAAAAUUUUUUAGCCCUAACAUUUAAAAUCAGCAAGAAUAAUUCCUAACAUAUAAAUUAUGAUUCAUUUUGAUCAUAAUGCUCGUAUUUGCUCAUUUUCUCUGACUGAAAAUAACACGUCCCUCUCAUGUGAGCAUAUUUUCAAAAACAAAAUCGAAAAAUACACUUGAUUUCCCUUUUAAACUAAAAAUAUACGGGACCGUCACCCCUUUACACCUUUCCCCCUCAAAUUAUAGCCACAAGCAACACCCUAAUUCCCACAAAAUUGUACACUGGUUUAUUGAAAAUAUGAAAAUAUCAAAGGGCACGAGGUCCACGACAUUCCAUCCAAGGACCUUAUUAGUAUUAUUUUCUAUACGCGUCAGUCCAAAAGCACGGGGUUUGGUCGUACAGUAUCCACCUAAUCCCAUAAGUAUUUAAAAUUUUUACCUUAAGUUUUUAAUUAAAUUUUAAUAACGGGACCGGGGAGAGUUUUUUUUUUUUUUUUCUAAAAGAAAAGACAAAAAUCCGAAUGCAGACAGAGGCAGUAACUUUCAGAAUGGUGUGUGGGUUAACGUUGGUCUGUCAGCGCUUGGUACCCCAAUCAUUUUGUUUUUUUGACAAGGUGGGCCAUCUUUUGGAUCACCCUAGAAUCCGUCUAUAUCAAAUUCAAGCCUGCCACCUCUCCACCAACAUCGGCCCAGCCAGCCAGCCUGCCUGCGUGAUUGACUGAUUCCAUUUAUUUCUUUCCCUGCAACCAACUUCUUAUCAAAUUUCUCAAUCUAAGCAAUUAGCUAUAAUGGUCUUGUUGGACCGUGUAUUACGGCACACCCAACCCAACACAUGUACACAAGUCGCGUAUGUUUCUACCACUUAUUUAUCACUGACCCUUUGACCAUAAUUAAGACCCCAUUUGCGGUUACAGUAAUUUAUAAAGAAAAAAAAAAUACUUUUGACACAAUUUUUUUUUUUUAAAAUACUUUUAAAUUUUCAAAAAUUGAGCUCCUUCAGUUCCGAGAAAUUAGUUAUCAAAUACUCUAAAAAAUACUUUUAGUACUAAAAAGCACUCUCUUAAAAAAAAAAAAAACACAACCCCAAACGGAGCCUAAAACACCCUCCAAAUCCAGCAGAAAAAUUAAGGGAACACGAAGCUGAGCCACCUCAAAAGCAGACUAGAAUUGGCAGCCAUCAUGAACAAAUUAUUAAAUUCAUCACGACCAGCCAGAUGCCAUGUUUGGGAGGCAUAUGGACAAGUUCCCUUCCCCCUUUUCUCUAACAGCAAGCAACUAAGUGAUUUUCAUACAUAUACAUGGAUCAAGCUAUCUAGAUCUCAGCAAAGAGGCGAUUAAUUUAUAUCACAUUUUCAACCACUUUGGCUUGAUACUCUUCUUAUCAGCAGGCUUGC
rnacentral:lncRNA from 1 species